UAAACACUCUUAUAUUUCUUUACAGAGGGAGUAGAUUGGAGAUGCCCUAACUACUCACAAUAUUUUUCACUGCAGUGGUAUAUUCAAUAAAAAGGCUCAAUGUACAUCAACAAUUACAUUACAUUCUGGCAUGAAGUAAUUGAGAUUUAUCAGCAUCCAUAUACAAUUCACAACAGGUACUUUAUCAGCAUCCACAUACAAUUCACAACAGGUACUUUAUCAGCAUCCACAUACAAUUCACAACAGGUACUUUAUCAGCAUCCACAUACAAUUCACAACUGGUACUUCACAGGCAUCCUCGUGAUCCAAAUGCUAAAGCCAAAAAAAGGACAAGAGAAUAAAACUCACGGAGCUAGCUAUGAUAGUUUAACCAUGGAUAACACAUCACCACUUCAUCUUAACAGCCAGCUUUCAGAACUCAGAACUGAUGCCACAGAUAGCUAAAUUUAGAGGGCGGCAUUCACUGGCCACAGCAUCGACCUUCACCAUGUCAACAGAAAACUAGGGAGAAGAGCACUGUUACUCAAUCUUCACAGACAACUAGGGAGAAGAGCACUGUUACUCAAUCUUCACAGACGAGUAAAUCAGCCUAGUGAACAUUAAACAGGCGUAGAAUCCAAUUGUACCCGUCAAGGCAAAGAACGCAUACGAGGCGAUGAGCAUGUAGCCGAAGUAAAGGAUGGCUGACACAAACUUUGUGAUCUCCAGCUUUGUGUAGAAGUAGAAAGUCGCAUAUAGGAAGAGGUACAGGGCAGAAGAUCCUGAUGUCAAGUAUGAUCUCCACCACCACAGGUAAUCCUCACUGCAUAGCUGGAAGUAGCAGAGCACAAUCGAGAUCUCAGCACAUGUGACGAUUAGAAUAAGGAAGACAAGGAAGAGGAACCCAAAGAUGUAGUAGAAUUGGUGCAGCCAGAUGGAGGUCAGGAUAAAGAAGAGCUCAAUGAACACAGCUCCAAAUGGAAGGAUCCCUCCAAUUAGAAUCGAAAAGAUUGAGUUCAUGUACCAGGCUUGCUCAGGUACCUGCCUGGGUAUCUUGUUUGUUUUCACUGGGUCUUCAAUGGCUGGUUUCUUGAAACCAAGGUAACUCCCAACAAACACUAAAGGCACCGAGAUACCAAACCAAAGGAGGACAAGGGCAAACAUUGUGGUGAAUGGAACUGCACCAGAGGACUUCUGCCCCCAGAUAAGAAUAUUCAAGAAGAAGAAAACAGUGAACACACUGCCAGGGAAGGUGAAUGCUGUCCUCAAGGCAAUGUUCUUCCACUCUGAGCCCUUGAACAACUUGUAAAGACGUGAAGAAGAGUAGCCAGCAAGCAAACCCAUGAAAACCCAAAGCAAGAGCAUAGCUGUCAUCAGUCCACCUCUGUUGGAUGGAGAAAGGAAGCCAAGGACUGCAAAGACCAUCGUGACAAGCAUCAUGCCAAAAAACUGGACACCUGUACCAACAUAAACACAGAGCCAAUCAGAGUUGGCAGGCGGCCUGAAAACAUCACCAUGAACAAGCUUCCAUCCAGUUUCUUCUUGGGCUUCCUCCUGAGUCUCAAGCUGGUUAUACUUGGAGAUGUCCCGAUAAAGGGUCCGAAGCAUGAUCAUUGCAACCAUUCCGGAAAGGAAGAGAACGAUCAUGAGAGAAUUUACAAUGGAGAACCAAUGGAUUUGAUCGUCUGUCAUCAGCAGAUAACUAUCCCAGCGAGAUGCCCACUUGAUAUCACUCUCCUGCAAGUUGAUAAGAGUAGUUGAAAGAAUUAGUAAAUAAUAUCAAGCUCCGCCUAGGACACACUAAACAAUACUAUAGCAAAUACAAUCACUUCAAUAGUGUCGAACCUAAAAGGUUUACACAUUAAUUAUCACCUUGAAAUCCACAUCGUAUGUGAAGACAAUGUCUUUGCCAGCUUCAACCUCCUGAGGAGAAUCAGAUGAUGUAAUUAUACGUUUCGCAUUCGGAUCGCAAGUGGUCAGAUGAGUCUUCUUGUCAUUCCACUGUCCAUAUUCGUGCUUGACACUGCAGCAUAUGCCAUUGUUUUUCAGAUUCAAAUCACCACAACCUGAAUUUUCAAAUAAUUACAAGCUCAAAUGUACCUGUAGGGUUUUACUUCAAAGGCCACUAUCCUAGAAACAUCCCUUUGUGCAUCCCUGUGAUAUUUCACCGUGAAGGACAAAUGAUUGUGGAUGAAGUACUUUUCAUCCUUACUCUGUCAAACAACCAAGAAAAGUAAAGUGCACAGAAGAACUUUGCCCCCAGAUGACAUUUGAUCAAUACAUAAUAGUUUAACUUACCCCUGAGUAUUGUCCUUUGGCUCCAACAUGGAACCCAUGUUGAUAGAAAUAAGCACCUUCUUGAUCCACUCUUUGAAUAGGAACAACUAGAGGUAGGUUGUCAAGAAUCCUGUUGGAUGUAGAGAAUUUAUGUGAGACCUACCGAUAGACAUCAAUAAAAUCUUAGAUAAUCCAGAAAUUAAAUGACUAACAUACAUGUUCACGCGGUACUCAUCUUCAAUCUUUUCCUUGAGAACCUUUCCUUCUUUUUCCCCAACUGAAAUCUUGCAGACUAUUUGACACAUCUGAGGUACCCUCAUUUCAAACUGGAAAACAUAGACAUGAAAAGUUAAAGGCCAACUGUGCAAAGUACCGGGCAAAGAAAACAAUGGAUAGAAAAAGAACAAACCACAUAUGGAGAGUUCUCAAUGCGAUCCCCACGGAGAACUUCACCCAGAUUUUCAGCACUGUCAACGAUCGUAUCUGGCUUGCAGAAUGGGAGAGAGUAGAAGGAGUAGGGAAGUUGUGUCUUAAUUGAAGUCAGUUUAUUGACUUUCACAGGGAGAUGGUCUUUCUGCAUUGAACCAUAAUAAUUCAGUUAGCAGUUGCAUACGAACAAGUGAAUCCCAGUUAACUGAACUCUAAGGGGGAAAAAAGGUGAGCAUGGAGCAUGGCCCAAAACUUGCAUAAACCAUUUACCAGCUUACUGCAUAAUGUAUGCUAGUAAGUUGGAUAUGAAUUAUUAGAUGGAGAUUCAAAUCUUUGAGUUAUCAACCAACAAAUGUAAUUCCUAUGAAAAUCGUUUGAAUCAAAGAAGCACUGACACUGUUGAAAAGGGCCACACAUCCUAGCGAACUCCAGUUUUAAAGGCCAAUGUUUUUUCCCACCUGAGAUUUUACAGCUUAUAAACGAGCAAAUCUGCAUUCCAAAACUUAGUCGGUCCUCGAAAAUCACUUAGGCAACUUAUAUCACGAUUUAAUGACAAGCAUUGACGACCAUAAAUCAUCUUUUAAAUCCGCAUUGCCGCCAGCGCACCAGCUGCCAAUCAGCCGUCAAUCUCCGUGCAUUGACUACUAAAUCUCGUCACCCCAUUCCCAUGGCAUGUUCAUUCGUCCUAACGCACAAGCAGGCGCGGGGGCAACCAUAAUUUCGAGCGACAAGCAUAGUUCUAAGUUUGGCUUCUCGAAAUGCAUACACUCCGCGCACCACCUACAUUGCGCGAGGCCACAUCACAAUCUAACCCCGUGACAGCACGGAGAUCUCCGAGACACCCAGCCGCGCGAGCCCAGAUCUGGGCAUGCUGCGCCCAGAUCCGACCAGAACACGAUCCUGCACGGGAGGGGUCCACGCAAGCAGGGAGGAAAUAGAGUUUGCCGCAAGAUAGUACGGUGGGUACCUUUUCGAAGUCGUUGGGCGCGACGCCCGGGAGGUAGAAUCCGGCGGCCGGGACCACAAGGAGGCAGAGCGCGGCGAGGACGACGGACAGAGCCGCCGCCGUCGCCGGCAGCGAUAUCGUCAUGGGGAACGGAGGCGGUGGGCGAGGGUCGCUCACGGUUCGCUCGAGCGCUCGGGCCGGUGAGAGUGGCGAGAGGAGAAUGGCUUUUCCGUUGCGACGAGGUGGUGUUUUAAUGGAGAAAGAAAAUGCGAAAGCGUCGUAUCCCUACCUACCUUUUUUGUUUUUUCAUACUUUUUUCUUUUUCGUAAAUACGCAAAGUUCACGCAUCUUUUCAUUAACUAGGUAAUUGCCCGUGCGUUGCUACAGGAGAUAAAUAAUUUUCAACGCACCAUUGUGUUUAGAGAUCAUCAGAUAAUCUACCUAAUCCUAUAAACAUGUUGUUUUGAGCCACAUUAAGAUACAUGAGCAUCAGUUUUUCAUUGCAAUGUCAAAAUGUCAGAAAAGGUGAAAAUAAAUUUCUUGCUUUCCUAUUUAAUUCCAAAGUGAAAGUAACUCGAGCAUGUCAAAUACCAAAGUCCAGCAAACCCACGUGCAAUGACAACUUUUUUAUCUAAUCUUGGUAAAAGAUUCAUAUAUAAAUAAUAAAACACGAAAGAGAUAUUUAGUACGUACCAUGUAGCCCCUUUUGAUGUUCUGACCAGAGAUAUAAUGCUUUAGUGAGGUCAAAACUCCUGAGCUAAUAGAUAAACUAAUUAUCAGGAUCCUAAAGAAACAAUUACAUAAUUUGUGAACGCACCAUACUAAACAAAAUAAAAUUUAUUCAUCUGUACGUACACACAGUUUGACAUACAAAUUUCUUGCACACAUUACAGAGUUAGCAAUUCAUGCUCCUUGCUAAUAUCGUAAAGCAGAUUAAAUAAACAAGGGUGCUUCUGAGCAAAUUUUUAUCUUCAUAUAAUCCACGAACUGCACAAUGCAAGUCCUUAGCAGAAGGGGUGGAGAGCCAUGGUCCUUUUCUCAGAUCAAAGAACCGGAAAAAAAAUGCGCAGUGGAAGCAGUGCUUUCCUUGGGUGGUGAAUUGGUUCCAUUCCCGGCGCACGCAGGUGUAGUCAUUACCGAUGUACACUAUGAAGAGGAAUACGACAACAAGAGCGCGUCGGCAUCAAGCACCGACCCGUCAAGGCCGCGGGGCCUGACGAGCAGGUGCAUAAGCACGUCUACAAAGAACGACACUGUCCGCGGCGCACACACACACGUCCUCCAUCUCCCGACAAUGGUUGUGCGUGGCCAUGCAGCACCACGCCCUCCAUGAGUACUCUUCCUCCCGCAACGAGCGCCGCCAGCCCGUCCAUGAGAUCUACCCACGCAAUCCUGCAUAACCGCCUUGCCGCUCGCCACCACGCGCCCUUGGACACCAAAGUGAGUGCAUUAUGAGAUUAUCUGCCAAAUUACCAUAUGCAUUUGGCGUAGACCAAUCAUAUCUGCAUUGCCACAUUGUAUAUUACCCUGAUUGCUCCAUAGAAUGGAGAAAUGGGCAGUUCCCGCAGUGAUUUAUACUACCGCGAUUACUUCCUGAAAACCGUGAUUACAUGCCUGUUUUACAGCCUUCUAUAUUAUGGUGUGAUUUCUAUUACCAUGAUUGAUCCGUAUAUUACAAGAUAGGCAUGUAAAUCACACCGAGGUUGCUUCCUGAAAAUACCAGGAAGUUGCCCUGUAAGUUUUCCUAUUGAUGUAAAUAAAUCAAAGUGAGUUAUUGGCAUACCAAACGGAAUUUAUCAGCUUACCAAACCGAAUGUAAGUUACCCCACCCGACUGAUAUGCAGGAGUUUCCUUACCGAUUGAAAAUCGAGUUGACUAAAAAUAGGAAGGGAAAAAACGUGUGUGGGUGGGAUCGUGGGGGUGACGAAGGGGUUGGACGACGAACGACGUAAGAGGGGAGACGAAACAUUCCGUUUCUUUUAGGUAGUAGAGAUAUAGAAGGAAUAAGAAAUACUCUCUUCGUUCCUAAAUAUUUAUCUUUUUAGAGAUUUCAAAUAGACUACCACAUACGGAUGUAUAUAGACAUGUUUUAUAGUGUAGAUUCGCUCAUUUUGCUCUGUAUGUAGUCAUUCGUUGAAAUCUCUAGAAAGACAAAUAUUUAGGAACAGAGGGACUAGUACGGAUAAGGAUACAUUGCAUGACACGAACGCAAAGAGGCAUGAACAUGGCACCUGAAACAAAGAAGGGUGUUCGGCCCAAACAUAGAAAACUACAUAGCUAUACCCAUCGAGCCCGAAACAAGAGAGGUGGGCCGAACCAACAAAACGACUAACAUCACCAAAUACUAGCACCAGGGACACCGAGAGCGAGCAAGAUUGCCCCUUCAAGAAGGAAAAACGACACGCAACACCGCCGCCAUCUGGAUAACCGGACUUAGGGUACCCCCUGUGCGUGAAGAGGGGCGUAGAUGAAGGUCGGGGCAGCAGCCGAGCAGAGAUUUCUCCCUGGCUUGAUUCUGAGCAAUCCUAUAGCCGCCGGAUCCGGAAAAUUGAGAUGGGGAAGUCAUUGUUGGCUGGAGCCGCCAAAUCUGGGGGGGGGGGGUAUGCCGCCGGAAGGUGGCACCUGACGCCACCAGACACACGGCAAAGGAUCUGGCACAAAGCGAGGCGCAGAGGAACAUCAUCAGAGGUGCAGUGAGGCAGAGAGAACCGACGCGGGGGAAGCAGCAGCGACAAAGCGACGCAAGGAAGAGUUUGUAGUUGUGCUCCUUCCAGCUCAUUCGGCCAUCCAGGAUCUGAGUUGUCACUCGAGAACGUAGGUCCUGAGGCUGCCGGGGCCGAGGAAACAUGAUGCGGAGCAUCCUUUGGUCAUCCCCAUGGACCUUUCGUCGCCUCACCAAGCACCAAAAGGACCCAUGACUAGAGCACGAGCUCGAGCUCUCGAGAUCGAGGUGACUUCUCUCAUUAGUGAUAUAUCAUAUGACCCUCUCAAGACAUGGCUACCUCAAUCCGGAAUGUUGUGCAUGAUUAGAUACCAAGAGGACCCUCCCGAGGAUGCACAUGAAGAUGAACAAGACCCCAAGUCCACGGACGAAGAGAACCCAUGGAAGAAGGCAAAAGAGGCUUCCAGGCACCGGACAUCCGGCCCAAGUCCCGGACAUCCGGUCCCUGGAGAUACACAUAGCCAGCUCUUGCAGAAGAAGGCUCCAGCAACCGGACAUUCGGCGUCCAGCCCGGACAUCCGGCGCCCCACCGGAAAUCCGGCCUCCCGCCCGGAUAUCCGGCCCCAGCAUCCUGAAUACACUAAAGAGGACCCCAACAGCCCGGACAUCCGCCAGAACCACCGGACAUCCGGUCCCUCCGGAAGCACCGAACAUCCGGCACCACCAGCCCGGACAUCCGGUCCCUCAUGAAGCCCCGGACAUCCGGCCCGACGCCCGGACAUCCGGCGCCUCCUGCCUGCGCGCAGCUACUCUGGGCCAUGACCCAUGUAUCCCUUCGCCCCCUGACUAUAUAUACCCCCUCCUCCCGUACGUUUUAGGGUUAGCGUUGAUUUAGCUCAGAUUAGAGAUAGAGCUUCGCUCAUCCAUCGGAUCUCCUCUUCGUGAGAGACCGCGGCCUCCUCGGAGAAGAUCCAAUCGGAUUCAAGACCCCCUCGUGGGACGAUCCCCCUCGUGGAUUCAAGACCUCCUCACAGAGAAGAUCGGUUACCUUUGUAUCCUUACCUUUGUUGAUUGUGGAUCAUAUGUAUCUCUUUGUGUUCGGUGAUCUAGCCCUCGUGUGAUUGAUUCUAUGUCGGUUUCGUGAUUCUCUCUCGUUUUCCCCGUGUUUUCCCCUUUGUGCUUCCGCGUGUUCUUCGUGAUUCCCCGUAGGAUCCACUCCAAACGUGAAAGAUCGUCCACAUAGGGUUCCGCCCUACAUCAUCUUGGUAUCAUGAGCCAGGUUGAUCACAUUUUUGGAGCCCCUACCCCGUGUUUUCUAGCUUGAUUUUGUUGUUUUCGUCCUAAAUCCGAAAAUUCCCCAACAAAAAUAGCCCCAAAAUUUUUUGUCAUUUGUUGGUGAGUUGAGAUUUUGUUGGAUUUGGUCCAUGGAUUUGUGUUGCUGCGUGUGGAUCUAGCUUUCCCCACCCUCCCCACCCUUUUCCAUCCACCGUUCCGUCCGAAUUUUGCCCCGGAGUUGCGAUUUUCCCGUGGAGUUCUUCGAGUUUGUCCCCGAUCCAGGAGCCCGGACAUCCGCCGUGUCCACCGGACAUCCGGCGUACCGAACAUCCGGCAGCUGGCCCGGACAUCCGGCCCCUGGCAGCUACAACUCCAACCCCCCAAGCCCUUUUGCCACCAUAAUUUCGUCCAAUUUUGCCCGGAGCCCACAACUACUUCCGCAUACCCAUACCACUUACCACCAACACCACCACCGAUCACCGCUACCUCCUAUGUCAAUUUUGACACGUUUUGGUCUUUGAGAGUUUGGGUUGUGGUUUACCGUGUCCUAUUGUGUUUCAGCUAUAUAGGUACGGUUCAACGUCAACAUCACCACUGCUCAUCUUCACCGACUACUCAUCAUCACCAAGGACGGUAACUUCGACGACAUCUUUGUCAUACCUUGCAAUUGCAUUGAUACCCACAUUGCCUCAUUUUGCGUAGCUUACCCAUCGAGACUAGCCAUUGAGUAUUGUUGGCAACGCGACUUGUGCACAUUAGUGGUCAUACUCCAUAGCAUACAUACCAUACAAUAGUGGUGCAUAUCUUGAGAUCAACUUGUGUGUCAUAAAGUUGUCAUAGCAUACACAAUUACUAUCUUGGUUCGUGAAGUUUUGCAUGAGAAAAGAGCUCAAAAGUGAAAGAGCCACCCAAGCUUUUAAGCAAAGAGGAAAGAUAAGCAAAGAGCUUAUAAGCAAGAACCAUAGCAUCAUACAACAUUAAGAUUGUCAUAUCCGAUCAUCUUGGAUCAUAGCACUGAAAUAUCAUACAUAUAGCAUACUUGGGAUAGAGAUCGUUGCAUUUUUGCCUAGUAGGUUGUGCACAAGUUUGUGUAUCCGCCUAUUGUGCAAUCGUGCUAGCGUCUCUCUAGUAUUGUGCAACAAGAGCAUUCUCGUGGUUUCCACAUUUUGGCUCACUUUUGGAUUGCACAAUCCCAUUUAUCUAUUUGCGUGUGUGUUUCCGUGUACCCAUACUUGCUUGGUCUACUUGUUGCAUUUGCAAAUUUGUGAAUCUUUUCCAACAUUAUUGAAACUCACUUACUAUUGCAUCAAAUUUUGUGCCACCAUCCUAACCAAGCUCCACCAUAAGCUUUUACGUGUGUAGGUGUGAGAAUCGACGAGAAUUGGUACCAACAGUGCUAUUUCAUUGUUCGCAUUUGAGUGAACUUGAUUCAUAUUCAACUUCGAUCAAGGUACAUUUGGUAUACAUUCUUUUCCUUCUACCACUUACAUUUUGCUUGGAAUGAUGGAUAGGCCAAGUUCUUCUACCACUCCACCUCUCAUCGAGAACGACGACAAUAUGACAUCAUUUGUAACCAAGAUUCACCUAUUUGGAGCUCAAAAGGCAUUGCACCAAGAACAACAAGCAAUGAGGGACUACUUCGACAACAAAUUCGACGCUCACAAGCAGGAGAAUGAUGCAAGAAUGGACGAGAUCCGCGCCUUCAUGAGGAACCGGCGUCCUUCCACUUCUUCAUCCUGAAGACGGAGCCGCUCGACUCGACACUCCGACGACACCUUCUCCGACUCAAGUACACCGUCAUCGAACACUCUUCGACGAGCUGCGCGUCAAGACCGGCAUGCAUCUCGGAACCCGCUACAUGACAAGCAUACACAAGAACAAGUCGAGGAGCAAAUCCCUCGUCCUCAAUCAAACCAAGUCGCUUUUGCACAAGCUCAAGAACGACAACGACUACGACGCCAAGAAGAAGAGCGAGCGCGCCUACACCAAGAGGAACAAGAUGCCGAGAAUCAACGUCUUCAACAACAACAAUGUGAAGCGCAAGCUCUUGAGGCGCAACGUGCUCUUCAAGAAUCGAGUCGAGCAAUCGCCAACCGCAAUCGCGAAAGGCGCAAUCAAGAGGAAGCCCUUAGAGAAGAAAUCCAAGAGAGGAACUACCACCCGCGAGUGCAACCUCAAGCUCCACAAGCUCCUCCACAAGCUCUCCAAGCUCCACCUCAAGCUCAAGUUCAACAAGAGCAAGUUGAUCAUGGACUUCAUCCACGCCAAGAGCAACAUGAGGAUGACUAUCCUCCACGUCAAGGAUGUCAUCAUCAUCAUCGCCAACAACACAAUGAAGAGCAACGCUAUGGCAAGCUCAAGUUCACAAUGCCCAAGUUCAAUGGGAGCAAUGAUCCGGAAGAGUACCUCUCAUGGGCAUUGAAGGUCGACAAAAUUUUCCGCUUGCACAACUAUGAGGAAGAGAAGAAGAUCGAUAUGGUAUCACUUGAGUUCCAAGACUAUGUGCUCAUAUGGUGGGAACAAGUACUUGAACGCCGUCAAGCAAGAGGUGAACCACCAAUCAACACUUGGGCUCAAAUGAAGGAUGUCAUGCGAGCACGCUUUGUACCAACAUACUACAACCGCGAUCUCUUCAAGAAGCUACAACUCCUCAAGCAAGGAACAAAGAGUGUUGAAGAAUACUACAAGGAAAUGGAGAUAGCCAUGAUUCGAGCCAAUGUCACGGAAGAUGAUGAGCAAACAAUGGCACGUUUCUUAAAUGGACUCAAUCAUCCCAUCAAGAAGAUUGCCUACUUCCAACCCUACUCCAACCUCAUUGAGCUCGUACAUCAAGCAACCAAGGUCGAACGUCAAGUGCAAGAUGACCUCAAGUAAGCCAAGUACUCAUCCAAGACCUACGGCUUCUCCAACAUCCAAGCUUCAACGACUCCUUCAACAUCUACAUCAACCAAGCCGUCUCCAAGCAACGACGACAAGUCAAAUUACAAGAAAACUUCGGCAAGUUCAAGUCGUCUUCCUCCUACUACAAGCAACUUCAAGCCGCGUGCUUCAUCAUCUACUCCAACCGAUGAGACCGUCAAAACAAGCUCCUUCAAGUGUUUCACUUGCGGCGGCCGAGGCCACAAGUCCUUCCAAUGCAUGAACAAGCGCACCAUGAUCCUCAACGACGACGGCACAUAUGACUCAAUGAGUGAAGAGGAGAUGGAAGCCCUUGAGCAAGUGGCCAUGCACCGGCGCGUGAACGAGGAUGAAGAUGAUCAAGUCUUUUGUGAUGAGGAUUCGAGCCCCGCUCUCGUUGUCUCCAAAGUCUUGGCACUUCAACAUCAACAAGAAGAAGACCAACGAUGCCACAUAUUCCAUACUAAGGCCGGCAUCAAUGGAAGGUCCGUCAAGCUCAUCAUCGAUGGAGGUAGUUGCCACAACUUGGCAAGUGAAGAACUAUGUUCCAAGCUUCAAUUGGUCAAGAGGAAGCACCCGCACCCCUACAAGGUUCAAUGGCUAAGUGACUCCGGCACUAUACGAGUCGAGCAUACGGUCCAAGUCUCCUUCAAAAUUGGUGCUUAUGAAGACACUUUGGAGUGUGAUGUGGUCCCAAUGAUCGUUUGCCACCUCCUUCUUGGUCGACCAUGGCAAUUCGACCGUGGUGUCAUCCACAAUGGGCGCACCAACCACUAUAGCUUGAAAAUGAAAGGGAAGGAAUAUGUGUUACGACCUAUGUCUCCUAGUCAAGUAAUAGCCGACAAGCAAACCACCAAUCAUGGAGAGAAGAGUGAAAAAGUGACACACCCAAAAGUGAGUGGAGCCACAAGCCAAAUUUGAGCGCCUCUUCGCCUAGAGAGAAAAACCUCACCUAUUUGCCACCAAAAGUGAGAUGAGAGAAGUGUGUGAGAACCCAUCGAGUGUGAUGCACUUUGUCCUUGUGUGCAAAGAUGGGGAGCCAACAACUAACACUUCUCACGAGCUACCUUUAGUGUUUCAAUCUCUUUUGCAGGAAUUCCAAGAUGUUUUCCCCGAUGAGCUACCUCUGGGUCUACCUCCACUACGAGGAAUUGAGCAUCGAAUUGACCUCAUCCCCGGAGCGCCACUUCCAAACAAAGCUCCAUACCGAGUCAAUCCCGAAGAAACCAAGGAGAUUCAACGGCAAGUACAACAACUCAUCGACAAUGGUCAUGUAUGUGAAAGCUUAAGCCCAUGUGCUGUUCCCGUUAUACUUGUGCCUAAGCCCGAUGGAAGUUUCCGCUUGUGUUCCGAUUGUAGACCUAUAAAUGCUAUUAUCGUUCGCUAUAGGCAUCCCAUUCCUCGCUUAGAUGAUAUGCUUGAUGAGCUUAGCGGAGCCAACUUUUUCUCCAAAAUUGAUCUUAAAAGUGGCUAUUAUCAAAUCUGCAUUCAAGAAGGUGAUGAAUGGAAAACCGCUUUCAAAACCAAAUUUGGCUUAUAUGAGUGGUUAGUAAUGCCUAUGGGUUUGUCGGAAGCUCCCGGUACUUUCGUGCGUCUUAUGCAUCAUGUGCUUAGACCUUACAUAGGAGUCUUCGUUGUGGUUUACUUUGAUGAUAUCAUUGUGUUUAGCAAAACCAUGAAAGAGCACAUUAAUCAUGUUAAAUCUGUGUUGCAAACCCUCCGCAAGGAAAGCCUUUAUGCGAACUUGAAAAAAUGCACUUUUGGCGUUGACAAAGUGGUUUUCUUGGGUUUUGUUGUCUCUUCCAAGGGUGUCCAUGUUGAUGAAACUAAGAUUAAGGCAAUUAAAACUUGGCCCCAACCCACCAAUUUGCAACAAGUGCGUAGUUUUCUUGGUCUUGCAGGAUUUUAUCGCCGCUUUGUGAAAAACUUUAGCACAACUGCCGCUCCUUUGCAUGCCUUGAGUAAGAAGAAUGCUCCUUUUGUUUGGGGAUCUUUGCAAUCCACUGCUUUUGAUGAGCUCAAGUCUUUGCUUACUCAUGCUCCAAUUCUUGCUUUGCCCGACUUUGACAAAACUUUUGAGGUUCAUUGUGAUGCAAGUGGUACCGGAAUUGGCGGAGUUUUGAUGCAAGAAAAACGAGUCAUUGCAUAUUUUAGUGAAAACCUCUCCAGUGCUCAACUUAACUAUCCCAUCUAUGACAAAGAAUUGUAUGCUUUAGUGCAUGUGCUACAUGUUUGGGAACAUUACCUUAGACCUCAUGAAUUUGUCAUCCAUACCGAUCAUGAAACGCUUAAGUACUUAAAAGGUCAAACUAAGUUGAACAAGCUUCAUGCCAAAUGGAGUGAAUUUAUUGAAUCUUUUCCUUAUGUGAUCAAGUACAUUAAGGUUAAAGAAAAUGUUGUUGCGAAUGCACUUUCACGCAUAUGCAUGCUUGUCACUAAACUUGAGUUGAAUGUUAUUGGUUUUGAGCAUAUAAAAGACUUGUAUGAGCAUGACCCUUCUUUUGCUACCCCUUAUGCUAAGUGUUUGACACACACGUCUUGGGAACGAUACUACAUAAAGGAUGAUUAUCUUAUGAGAGCUAACAAAGUUUGCAUUCCCGAGUCUUGUCUUCAUUUGCUACUUUUGCAAGAGGCUCAUGGAGGCGGACUCAUGGGACACUUUGGACGUGACAAGACUUUCGCCACGCUCUCCAAGAACUACGUUUGGCCCAAGAUGUACCGUGAUGUAUCACGCUUCACCAACCGUUGCUCUACAUGUCACAAAGCUAAGUCUAAAGCUCAAUCCCAUGGUCUUUACAUGCCACUUCCUAUUCCUUAUCAACCUCGGGAAGACAUUAGCAUGGAUUCUAUACUUGGUUUGCCUAGAACUCAAAAUGGCAAGGAUUCCGUCUUUGUUGUUGUGGACAGAUUUUCUAAGAUGGCACAUUUCAUUCCUUGCAACAAGAUAGACGAUGCUUCACACGUUGCAAAUCUCUUUUGUAGGGAAAUCUUGCAUCUCCCUGGAGUCCCAAAGACAAUCGUCUCCGACCGCGACGUCAAGUUCUUGAGUUACUUUUGGAAGACCCUAUGCGCCAAGCUCGGAAUCAAGCUAUUGUUCUAUUCGACAUACCAUCCUCAAACCGACGGCCAAACGGAGAUGACAAACCGUACACUCUCCACUCUACUUCGCGUGUUGAUCAAGAAGAACAUCAAGGAGUGGGAGGCAUGUCUACCCAUCGUCGAGUACGCCUACAACCGUGCAAGACAUUCGACGACCGGCAAGUCCCCCUUCGAGGUCGUCUACGGCUUCAACCCGUUGUCCCCAUUGGACAUUCUAUCUCUUCCUCUACAAGAGCGCACCAACCUUGACGCAAGUACGCGUGCAAGCUACAUCAAGAAGAUGCAUGAAGAUACAAGGCACACCAUCGAGCGCCAAGUACAACGACUAGCGACCAAGCUCAACGUCAACAAGCAUCCCAUGAUAUUCAACAUUGGAGACCUCGUGUGGCUACACCUUCGCAAGGACCGCUUCCCCAACGAACGCAAGUCCAAGCUUCUCCCUCGAGCCGACGGACCCUUCAAGGUGCUAGAACGCUACGACAACAAUGCUUACAAGAUCGAUCUCCCACGCGACAAGUACAACAUGAGCGACAUCUUCAACGUCUCCGAUCUCUCCCCGUACCAUGGUGAUGAGGAUUUCGGUCCGAGGUCGGAUCUUUCACAAGGGGGGGGGGGGAGAUGAUGCGGAGCAUCCUUCGGUCAUCCCCAUGGACCUUUCGUCGCCUCACCAAGCACCAAGAGGACCCAUGACUAGAGCACGAGCUCGAGCUCUCGAGAUCGAGGUGACUUCUCUCCUUAGUGAUAUAUCAUAUGACCCUCUCGAGACAUGGCUACUACCUCAAUCCGGAAUGUUGUGCAUGAUUAGGUACCAAGAGGACCCUCCCGAGGGUGCACAUGAAGAUGAACAAGACCCCAAGUCCACGGACGAAGAGAACCCAUGGAAGAAGGCAAAAGAGGCUUCCAGGCACCGGACAUCCGGCCCAAGUCCCGGACAUCCGGUCCCUGGAGAUACACACAGCCAGCUCCUACAGAAGAAGGCUCCAGCAACCGGACAUCCGGCGUCCAGUCCAGACAUCCGGCGCCCCACCGGAAAUCCGGCCUCCCGCCCGGAUAUCCGGCCCCAGCAUCCCGAAUACACUGAAGAGGACCCCAAUAGCCCGGACAUCCGCCAGAACCACCGGACAUCCGGUCCCUCCGGAAGCACCGGACAUCUGGCACCACCAGCCCGGACAUCCGGUCCCUCGUGAAGCCCCGGACAUCCGGCCCGACGCCCGGACAUCCGGCGCCUCCUGCCUGCGCUUAGCUACUCUGGGCCAUGACCCAUGUAUCCCUUCGCCCCCUGACUAUAUAUACUCCCUCCUCCCGUACGUUUUAGGGUUAGCGUUGAUUUAGCUCAGAUUAGAGAUAGAGCUUCGCUCAUCCAUCAGAUCUCCUCUUCGUGAGAGACCGCGGCCUCCUCGGAGAAGAUCCAAUUGGAUUCAAGACCCCCUCGUGGGAAGAUCCCCCUUGUGGAUUCAAGACCUCCUCACGGAGAAGAUCGGUUACCUUUGUAUCCUUACCUUUGUUGAUUGUGGAUCAUAUGUAUCUCUUUGUGUUCAGUGAUCUAGCCCUCGUGUGAUUGAUUCUAUGUCGGUUUUGUAUUUCUCUCUCGUUUUCCCCGUGUUUUCCCCUUUGUGCUUCCGCAUGUUCUUCGUGAUUCCCCGUAGGAUCCACUCCAAACGUGAAAGAUCGUCCACAUAGGGUUCCGCCCUACAUCAAAACACCAACAAAGACCCACUACGAGGCGUCGCACGAACACCACAACACCAGGCCGGUGCGCAGUGAAAGGCAGUCGCCACUAGGGAAUCAACCACUGUUGCAUCAACAAUCACCAUGCACGAGCAGCCACCGAAGCACGAGGGAGGUGGGCGCCGCCGACAAGGGCAUCCUACACGAGGCAGACCCGCGACCGGCCACAGCGCCCACGUCCACCUUCCAACUAGUUGUAGCACCAGCAAUGAGCUGGGUUACGCCCACGGGGAGGCAGGGCUGCAGAGGAUAGCUUCCAUGCCACGGCCAAGCUGCAACACCGGCAGGGCCGACCAGGGAAGGCGCAGACGGAUGUAGACGCACACAAGAUCGGGUCUUAGGGGGGAGGGGACGUCGCGCUCAAUAUGGGAGGCCCCACCGCCACCAUGGCCAAGGCUAGGUCGCACGUUGGCUGGACCAACACGGGGAGGGGCGCCGAAGGGGAGCACCGCAAUCGGCUGGGGUGAGCGCCUAGAUCCCAUCCAAAGCAAACCAGAAACCACACGGUGGAGCCCCAGCCAGGGGAGGCCACUCACGUUGCCUAUGUAGUGGGAAAGAGGUUGCCGGGAGAGGCCAUCCUCAUCGGAGGAGGAGGCCAUCGGCCUCGUACGGGACCGGAUCUGGAGGGGAGGGCAGCUGGGUGAUGGGGAGAAGAAACGACCCAGCCACCAGCAUCCCAGAUCCUGGCACGACUUUGCCGGCCAGCCCUCCGACGGCGCCGACACGGCGGUGAUUGCUUGUAUCUGUGUUGGUAAUUCCCCGAAGAGGAGAGGAUGAUGCAACACAACAAAGGUAAGUAUUUUCCUUAGUUAUGAAUCUAGGUUAUCAAUUCAGUAGGAGAACCAAGCAACACUAUGUAACAGCACCAACACACAAACCACAAAAACUUGCAACCCAAUGGGUAAGAGUGGUUGUCAAUCCCUUCUCGUUAUUGAGAUAGAUUAAAUUGUACGAGAUUUGAUAAAUAGAUCUAACUAAAACACACACAAAAUAAAGAAAUAAAAAGUGCAACGAGGUAUUUUUGGUUUUAAUAUGAUAGGAAAUAGACCCGGGGGCGUAGAUUUCACUAGAGCUUCUCUCAAGGAAAUAUCAUAUGGUGGGUAAACAAAUUAUUGUUGGACAACUCACAGAAAAGCAAAUAAUUAUGACGAUAUCCAAGGCAAUGAUCAUGUAUAUAGGCAUCACGUCCAAGAUUAGUAGACCGACUUCUUCCUGCAUCUACUACUAUUACUCCACACAUCAACCGCUAUCCAGCAUGCAUCUAGUGUUUAAGUUCAUGGAAAAAUGAAGUAAUGCAAUAAGAACGAUGACAUGAUGUAGACAAGAUCUUGUUAUCCUUAAUAGCAAUGAUACAUGCAUGUCAUGUCUCUUUUUGUCACUGAUAUUGAGCACCACAAGAUCGAACCCAUCACAAAGCAUCUCUUCCCAUUGCAAGAAAAAUCAAUCUAGUUGGCCAAACCAAACCAAAGUUUCAGAGAAGAAAUACGAGGCUAUAAAGAUCAUGCAUAAAAGAGUUCAACAAGGACUCAAAUAAUAUUCAUGGAUAGAUCUGAUCAUAAACUCACAAUUCAUCAUAUCCCAACAAACACACCGCAAAAAGUCAUUACAUCAUAUAGAUCUCCAUGAACAUCAAGGAGAGCAUUGUAUUGAAGAUCAAAAAGAGAGAAGAAGCCAUCCAGCUAGCUACUACCUACGAACCCGUAGGUCUAUGGUAAACUACUCACGCAUCAUCGAAGGGGCGACAAGGAUGAUGAAGAACCCCUCCAUGAUCGUCGACCCCUCCGGUAGUGCCGGAAAAGGCCUCUAGAUUGGAUCUCGUGGUUCUGGAACUUGCGGCGGCCAGAAAAGUGUUUCGUCGACUCGCCUAAGGUUUUUGGGAUUUUAGAGUAUUUAUAGAGCUGAAGGUCGGUGGAGAAGCUUUCCGUGGCCCCACUACCCACCAGGGUGCGCCUAGGGCCUCUAGCGCGCCCUAGGGUCUAGUGGGCCCCACGGGCCUCCGUUGGUGCCUUCCUUGGCCUCCUGGGUGUCUUCUGGGCAGAAAAAAUUCUCCAAAAAGUUUCAUGGCAUUUGGACUCCGUUUGGUAUUGAUUUUCUGCGAAGUAAAAAACAAGCAAAAAAUAGUAACUGACACUAUGUCAAUAUGUUAGUCCUAAAAAAUGAUAUAAAGUUGCUAGUAAAUGGGUAUAAACAUCCAAGAUUGAUACUUUAAUAGCAUAGAACAAUAAAAAAUUAUAGAUACGUUGGAGACGUGUCAGGGGGUGGGCGGGAGGUGGGGGCGGGCCACCGCCGGCUUGGUUCCUACCAAGUUGCCCGGCUCGAGCGACGUGAUGGUCGGGCGACCAACUUCAUCUCUACUCCUAAUAUAAUCUUAUACUCCUAUAAAAGUUGCCUCAUCUCUACUCCUAUAAAAAAUGAGUUGGUGAUGAUGGUGUGCUUGCCAUUCUUUGUUUAUAAUCGUGGAACUGAAUCGAAUGCAUAGGAAGCAAUCUAUGGCAACUUUGCAAAAACUGCCCGACACUUUGUUAACAUUUGCAGACAACCCUUCUAAACCUCAUCUGGCCCCGACUCAUCAAGCCAUCUGAAAAAAAGGGCGUCAUACAACCACUGGCCGGCAGCAUUGGAAUCGACCUGGCGCGAUAACCAUUGAUGGUGCCAACCACCGAUGGCUCUAUAUUUUUGCGUAUUUCUAGACCACAUUUGUUGCAUGUUCUUUUCAUAUAUCACACUGGUACAAUGAGCAGCGACAGAAAUAAUGUAAAUAAAGUAUUCCAGCAACAAAAAAUAUUUAUGUAAUAUCUUUAUAUAUCAAAGUAAAUAUAUAUGUAAAAAUAUUACUUUUAAAAAAUAUUGUAAAACUAAUAAAGUACUCUCUCCGUUUUUAUUUACUCUGCAUAUUAGAGUUGACUGAAGUCAAACUUCGUAAAGUUUGACCAAGUUUAUAGAAAACAAUAUAGACAUUUAUCAUAAUAAAUCUAUACAAUGUAUAAGUACAUUCAAUAAUAAAUAUAAUGUUGUUGAUUUGUUAUUGUAUAUCUUAAUAUUUUUGUUUAUAAAUUUGGUCAAAGUUUGUAAAGUUUGACUUUGACCAAAGCUAAUAUGCGAACUAAAUAAAAAUGGAGGGAGUAAAUAUAUAUUAGUUUAUUUAAAUAAAUUUAUUUUAGNNNNNNNNNNNNNNNNNNNNNNNNNNNNNNNNNNNNNNNNNNNNNNNNNNNNNNNNNNNNNNNNNNNNNNNNNNNNNNNNNNNNNNNNNNNNNNNNNNNNNNNNNNNNNNNNNNNNNNNNNNNNNNNNNNNNNNNNNNNNNNNNNNNNNNNNNNNNNNNNNNNNNNNNNNNNNNNNNNNNNNNNNNNNNNNNNNNNNNNNNNNNNNNNNNNNNNNNNNNNNNNNNNNNNNNNNNNNNNNNNNNNNNNNNNNNNNNNNNNNNNNNNNNNNNNNNNNNNNNNNNNNNNNNNNNNNNNNNNNNNNNNNNNNNNNNCUUUUAAACUAAUAUUAUUUAAUGUAUAUAUUUUGUGUAUAAUAUAUAAUGUAUAAUGUAAAAAAUAUUGCUUGAUGUAUAUAUACAUAUAUAUAUAUUAUUUUUAUACUUUUGCAUAUAAUGUAAAUAAAGUAAUACUGGUACAAACGAACAACUCGAUGUACAAAAUAUUUUGUACACAAUACUUUAUUUAACAGUACAGAAUCACCUUGGGAAGGCCUCCCCUACCAGGUAGGAGAGCCUGGCCGGGUCGAGGCCGCCCUAAGGACAAGUCCAAGAUUUCCCCGACAGGCUUGCCGGGUUCGCCAAGGGGAAAUCUCCCCAGCAAGGCGCCACCGCUCCACCGCACCGCAACGCAAAUCAGUUAUCGGUGCGGUGUCGAGCCCCCGAGUGAUUAAGUGGCUUCCACUAAGCACGUGGUAGCCAUUCGAAAGACUGAUUGCCCUCAUAUGACACCCGUCCAGAGGUGUGUCAAGCAGAUAAGCAGAAGAUGAUUAAGCGGCAUGGCAGGCUUGCCGGGCUGCAUCCUCAGCAUGACACCUAGCAGUGCAUUUAAUGCACUUUGUCCUAACUGCCAGAGUUAGGUAUGAUAUCACUGUUAGUUAUCUAAUCAUUGGAUAAAGAUUGUUUUGCCAUUGUGGUCACCCCUUAAGCUAUAAAAGGAGGUCCAAGGCAACCUAGCAAGGGAUCCGGACCCUUAAACACUUGUACAUGCGUAGCUGCUCUCCCAGAGACCACCUUGUCGGGCUUGAGCGUUGCAAGCCCAUCGUGUUCCCUCAUCCAAUCCACCAAAGCAGGAGUAGGGUUUUACGCUUCCCGGCAGCCUGAACCUGGGUAAAAACCACAAGUGUCACUGUCGUCGUGUUGUUUCAUGGCCUCGGCUCUUUGUGUAAUGUGAUCUUCCCCCUUGCCGAACUACAAGGGGCCGAUGGCCCCAUAGGUGAUUGUGUUCCACCACGACAUCUUUGGUGCGCCAGGUAGGGGGGAUCUCUUGUGCGAACCUGAAGCUGUGGAACAGUGUGUCGAUCAUCGUCAUCAUCAUCUUCAUCCAUGGCACCCAAGAAGAAGCCCGACGCAACAACUCAUCCUUCCACUUCGAAGGCCCCCUCGUACGCAGCCGUUGACAUCAUAGGCAUUGUGGCGACAUUAGGUGAGGCGGGUGCCAUAGGUGUCACGGCUAGCACUGGUGGCACUACCGUUGUGUCCCCUGUGGUCGAAGCUGGAGCAGAAGAAGCUGGGGGAGGGCGACAUCAAUAACAUCCCGACGGCCAUAACCUGUAGGCCGCGGGUGGGAAAAACAUUUAGUCUCAACCUCCCUGCCGCGCUAGCCGGCGUAGCCGCAGCGACACCGCCCGUUCUGGCGCAAGCCAUGAUCCUCCAGCAGCACGUAUUACAGGUGCGGCUGCUAGGCACACGCCUUGCCCAGAACAAGGCGAGCAAGACAGAGCAUCGCACGGUAUCGCCAAUCCCCGAGCACGCCCCAUUCAUCGCCCAACUCCACUGGCAACCAGCUCGCGAUGGCAAGAACGUGGCGACGCUCCUGCUGGUGCUACCAGGAGUCAUGCAACGUCACGAUCUGCCUCAUCAUCUAUGCCAAGCACAACUUUGGAAGCCCGCCCAACUCCUUGUGAUUUCCACCAACAGCUGAUCAAAUGGAUGAGUGGAGAGUCACCAUCCAGAGUUUGAUCGGCUUUGCUGAAGCAGAAAGAUCUCAGGAGGCAGAGCCAUCGAAGUACAUGCGGACAACAACAACACCUCGGACAGCUGGCCAUGUUGAGGGGGUCACGCUGAUGGUGCAGUCCCCUCCGCGGCAGCAAACUGAAAUGCAACAACAAGAGACACACAACUACGAGCCCGACGAAGCGUCAAUGGCCUCGUCUGAUCCUCGAGCCUGUCGAGAUCAGCAACAAGUCCUGGAGGAUCAACGGAGGGAAGAUGCGCGCAUCACUAUAGAACAGUGCUGGAAGACCCGCCGUCAAUAUGACAAGCGCAAUGGCCCAGCCUUCGACGAACCCGUGCCCAGUGAUGGCGGGUACUUACCCUUCAAGGUCGGGUGCCCUACCUUCACUCACGAGCUACGUCGUCCGCUGGCCAUCUUCCCGCAUCUUCAAGCCCGAGCUACCAGAAAAGUAUGAUGGAAAGCUGAACUCGGCAGAGUUCUUGAGCAUUUACACAGUUGCUGUUCAAGCCACCAGAGAGAGGGAUGAGAAGGUAUUUGCGAACUACUUCCCUUUGGCACUCAAGCCAAACGUGAGGUCAUGGAUGGUUUACCUACCAGAAAAUUCCAUUUCAUCAUGGGAUGACUUGUGCAAUAAAUUUGUUGGCGCCUUCAUGUGCGGCCAUCAGGAACCAGGACGGCCUAGUGAUUUGCAAGUCCUUCCACAGAAGGAAAGUGAAAGUUUGCGGAAAUAUAUGCAGAGGUUCAGCCGAGUGCACAAGAACAUUCCAGAGAUACUCCCGACAGCUAUGAUUGUCGCGUUCCAUUCGAACAUGCGCAACAGAAGGAUACGUUCCAAAAUGAACGUCUGGUUGCCCAUGACUGUAAAUGAGUUACACACCUUGGCGGAUAAAUGUGCUCAUGUUGAGGAAGGAAGGCGACUUCUUGGGGAGGAGGAUGGCGCCGAAGUUGAUUCAGAGGAUGACGAUGAGGUCGUUAACCCAAAGAGGAGAAGUUGAAAGCGCAACAAGACACGCAAGGAGAAGUCAGUACUAGCCGUUGAGGGCUCUGGUGAUCUGGGCACCAGCAAGAAGGCCAGAACCGAAUCCCCUGGCAUGGAAGCUCCCGCGUGCGCUGAUUGCCGGGAGGCUGUGGUCCACCGCACUAAGGCCAUGAUCUCCAAGAGUGUCAUCAAGUUGAGUAUCUUGUCAAGAAAUAGAAGGCCGAGUAUGAGAAUCGCGAUAAAGAUAGAGACCAAGAGGGUGCUAGAGGAAAAGGCUGUGGUAGCAGAGGGGGCUACCACGACAAGGCCCUGCAGCAAAAGGAGAAACCUGCUAGAGGCCGUGAGAAGAAAGAAGAAGAUUGUGAAAGUGAUGAAUAGAAAACUAGCGAGCAAGAAUUCCAGAAAGCAACUGAAGCCAUGUGCAUUGACGGAGGUGCAUCCUUGCACUCCUCUCACCACCUGAUCAAGUAGUGGGCACGUGAGGUCAAUGUCGUGGAGCCAGCUAUAGACUCCCGGAAGCCGCUCAAAUGGUCCCGCACGCCUAUCAUAUUUGAUGAAGAGGAUCACCCUGACUGCACUACCGUUGUAGGAUGUUUGCCGUUGUUGGCCUCUCCAACUAUUCGCAACCUCAAAGUCACAAAGAUGCUAGUUGACGGCGGGGCUGGGUUGAAUCCGAUCUCCCCUAAAGUGGUCAGCAAGCUACAGAUCCCUGAUGAAGAGCUCAAGGUUACUAGCACGUUCCAAGGAAUCAAUCCCGGAAGGAGCCGUGCUAAGUGGAAGAUUACACCGCCGGUAACAUUUGGUGGAGAACUGGACUACCAGACCGAGAGGGUUGUGUUUGACAUUGUUGAACUUACCUUACCAUACAAUGGGAUUCUCGGUCGUCCAGCUCUGGCAAAAUUCAUGGUGGCAUCUCACUAUGCCUACAAUACUUUGAACAUGUCAGGUCCGAUGGGCGUCAUUUCCAUCCCAUCAAACAAGAAAGAUGUGAUCAUAUGCGUGGGCAAGAUGUAUCGAGACGCGGUAGCGGCUGAGGCUGCAGAAGCCGCAAAACCCGCCAAGGAAACAAAGAAGGGAAAGAGGGCUAGCAGAGAUGCCGACAAAGAAUCUAGGAAGCGCGCCUCUCCGGGAUGCGUUGUUCCUGUUGAUGAUCUACCGGAGAGUUCCACUAGUAAGAGGUCCAAGGUUGCCACCUGCUGUGAAGAAGGUCCAGGCAAGGCAGGAUGACACUGGCGGUACGUUCACCAUCAGUGCCACCCUUGACGACAAAUAGGAAAUCGUGCUCGUUGCCUUCCUGCGGGCGAAUGUCGAUGUGUUUGCUUGGCAACCAUCUGACAUCCUCGGUGUUCCCAGGGAGGUAAUCAAGCACCACCUUGCGUUCUGUCCUCAUGCCCGACCCAACAAGCAGAAGGUCAGGAAGAAAGCUUUGGAACGGUAACAGUUUAUUUCCGAGGAGAUCAAGAAGCUUGAAGCAGCUGAUUUGGUCAGAGGAGUGUUGCAUCCAACAUGGUUAACAAACCCGGUGGUAGAGCACAAGGCAAAUGGGAAAUGGAGACUCUACAUAGACUUCACAGAUUUGAACAAGCCAUGCCCAAAGGACCCUUCCCCCUUGUCGCGCAUUGAUCAGAUUGUGGAUUCCACUUCCUGGUGUGAUCUGCUUUCCUUUUUGGAUGCAUACUCUAGGUGCCAUGAGAUAUUCAUGUCCAAGGAAGACGAAGAGAAGACCGCGUUCAUAAAUCCAUAUGACACGUAUUGCUUUGUAUGGAUACCUUUCGGGUUAAAGAGCACUGGAUCCACUUUUGCAAGAGCAGUACAAAUUGGUUUCGAGCCUCAGCUACAUAGAAAUGUAGAAGCUUACAUGGAUGAUAUAGUAGUCAAUAUCCAAGGACCGAUCAACACUCAUUCAAGAUUUGGAAGAGACCUUUGCGAACUUAUGCAAGAUCAACCUGAAGUUAUACCGUGAGAAGUAUCUGUUCGGUGUACCCUUCGGAAAGCUACUUGGUUUCUUUGUGUCUCACCGAGGGAUAGAAUCCAACCCCAACAUGAUCAAGGCAAUUGGGCAGAUUCAAGCACCCAAGACGGUCAAGGAUGUGAGGCAUUUAACUGGAUGCGUUUCCAUGCUAAGCAGGUUCAUUUCCAAGUCUACCGAACGUGCCUUGCCUUUCUUCAAAAAUUUGAAGAAGACAUGUCCGAUGAAGUGGAUCUUGGAGGCAGAAGCAACGCUGCAAGACCUAAAGGCCUACCUUUCAUCUGCUCCCACCUUAGUCGCUCCUAAACCACAAGAGCCGUUGCUACUAUACUUAGCGGCAACGAACCAAGUGGUUAGUGUAGCGCCGGUGGCGCAGCAGGAGGUGGAUGAGGACGCAGCUGCCACAACUGUCCUCUUCAGAGACGAAACCGAACCAGUCAUGGCAGGGUUGGACACAAAUGAAAAGGGAGCAGAGAAAGUUAGCAAAGGCGAUCCCAAGACCGCGGCAAAGAAGAAAGUGGCGCAACGACUAGUAUACUUUGUCAGCUCCCUAUUACAGGGGGCUAGGUCAAGGUACUCUGGAGUGCAAAAUCUAAUCUUCAGGCUCAUCAUGGCCUCGAGGAAAUUGCGCCACUACUUCCAAGCCUAUGAGAUCACGGUUGUUACCCGUUUCCCACUCCAGCGCAUACUGAAGAACCCCAAAGCCACUGGCAGGAUAGUUGAAUGGGCACUAGAGUUGUCAAGCUUUAGCCUGAAGUAUGAAAGUACCUCAACCAUUUAGAGCAGAGCAUUGGCUAAGUUCAUUGCAGAAUGGAUGCCCACUUCAGAUGAAGAAAUACCAGAGAUAGUUAUUCCCGACAAGGAGGCACCUCAGGAAUGGAUCAUGUAUUUUGAUGGUGAUUUCUCGUUGCAAGCCGCUGGAGCUGGCGUGCUUCUUGUUGCACCUACUGGAGAGCACCUCAAGUAUGUGGUCCAAAUGCACUUUCCCCAGGAGAAGGCCAAUAACACUACUGAAAAUGAGGGGCUCCUUGCCGGGCUCAGAGUCGCAGUAGAGUUGGGAAUCAAGAAGUUGAUCAUCCGUGGAGACUCGCAGCUCGUGGUGAGACAAGUCAAUAAGGAUUACCAGAGCCCAUUGAUGGAGGCAUAUGUAGAGGAAGUGAGAAAGCUGGACGAGCAUUUUGAUGGAUUUCAAACAGGACACAUGCUGCGUGUAGAAAACAACAUUGUUGGUCAUCUUCAAAAUGCGCCGCGCAAAAACUCCGUGUGGAACCAUGAACUUUUGUCCCUUCACCUUACUCAAACUUCAGUGUCCCCAUCGAUGAUGGCCAGAAAAAGGAGGAAGUUGGACUCCGGCAAGUAUCUCCCGACAGGGCUUCCCAAAGCCGUUGGUAGAGAGGCUGCCGGGAACCACUACACUUAGGUUGGUGAGCAACACUCUCCCGCGAAACCACAGGUUCUUGUGGUCGAGGUGAGCGCUCCCAUGAAUGAGUAGGUGCCAUUAGUCCUUGUUAUUGUGCCUCAGGCUCCAACUUGGGCACAACACAUAGUCCACUACCUUCAAACAGGAGAACUUCCCAAAGAGCAAGAGGAAGCUGAAAGAGUAUCCCGACGGUCCAAUAUGUAUCAGUUUGUUGAUGACACUCUGUACAGAAGAAGGCCAAACGAUGUGAAGUUGAAGUGCAUUUGCCGGGAAGAGGGACAGGAGCUUCUAGCAGAGAUACACAUAGGCGUGUGCGGCUCCCAUAUUGGAUCAAGAGCCUUGGUUGGAAAAGCUUUCCGACAAGGUUUCUACUGGCCCACGGCCCUCCAAGAUGCGACUGAGCUAGUCACCAGAUGUGAAGCCUGCUAGUUCCACUCCAAGAACAUCCAUCAAAUAGCUCAAUCUCUAGACGAUCCCUUUAUCCUAGCCAUUUUUGGUCUGGGGGCCCAACAUCUUGGGCCCCUUCCCCCGUGCUACCAGGGGCUUUGAAUUCUUGUACGUUGCAAUCGACAAGUUUACAAAGUGGCCACAGGUGGGGCCAGUGAGGAAGGUAGCUGCAUUGUUAGCUAUCAAGUUCUUGAAGGGAUUGGUGUGCCGUUUUGGAGUACCCGCCAGAGUGAUCACUGAUAACGGCACCCCAUUUAGAAGUCGCGCCUUCAUGCAAUAUGUCCAAACCCUCGGAAGAAAGGUCUCCUUUGCCUCUGUUGCUCAUCCCCGGAGCAAUGGACGGGCUAAGAGGAUGAACCCUGAAGCGCUGCGUGGAGUCAAGACAAGAACUUUUGAUCAGUUGCAGAAGUGCAGGAGAUGCUGGAUUGAUGAGCUGUCGAUGGUUCUUUGGUCCCUCUGUACGACACCGAAUCGAGCCACCGGCCAGACUCCCUCCUCCCUAGUAUAUGGGGCAGAAGUGGUGCUCCCCACAGAACUCAUGUAUGGGUCACCUCGAGUACUUGCCUAUGAUGAAGUAGGGAAAGAGUAGCUCCUGCAUGAUGAUGUCGUACUCCUCGAGGAAGAUCGUCUCCGGGCCGUUGGGCGUGCUGCACGCUACCAGCAAGCCUUGCGCCCCUAUCAUAGCCGCACGAUUCAUGCCCGGAUCCUUUAAGAAGGCAACCUUUUCCUUAGGCAUUUUCAAUCCGCCAAUGGUUCCAACAAGUUGAUGCCGAAGUGGGAAGGCCCUUACCGGGUAGUACGAGUCACCAGACCUGUCACAGUCUAUCUAGAGACCGAAGAUGGCAUUAAGGUGCAAAACUAAUGGAAUAUUGAGCAUCUUCACAAGUUCUACCUGUGAGGCACGGUUGCCGGGAUCAGCCCCGGCAGCCACCUUUUGUACAAGCCUUGCCAAUGUGCAUGUAACCCUUUGUACAAAGCCAGGCACAAACCCUAUGCAAAGAUAAUAAAACGAAGCGCUGGCGCCUAAAAACUUAAAUGCAUGAUUAUUUUAGCAUGGUUCUCCCAUGUUCAUUUAGAAAGGGUCGUAUGUUGUUGUUUUCCCCCUGUGCUAACUAUAGGACCCCUCCGUGGAUAAAACCCCAAGGAGGAUAAGUGAGAACAAGCUUGCAUUUUGAUCCUUGACAACGCAAAACGGAUAAGUUCCCUUUGAGAUAUCCAUGGUGUGCCUCUGUGAGGGAAAAACUUGUGCGUAGAGAAACCUUGUCGCCUCCGAAACAUUUGCGCUCCCAUCCUUUGAUUCGAAGGUUACAUCAUUCAGGACAGUCGCAGUGGCAUUUGAUUAAAAAGGGUUUGACAAGGGGCCGGUCCCUUUUCACACUCCUGAGCCCGCCAGGCCAAGCCUCGCGGUAGCAAUGGAAGGAACUGACAAGAUAGCUUACCGGAGAACCUUGUUUAUUUGAAAGUAUAGAGGAGUCGCUCCUCUGCAUGGAUAUGAUACAAGCACAAGUGCUCGACAAACAUAUCUUUUUUCAUUAAUACUCGGAUAAACAAGUGCAAACCGUACAGAGUCCAAAUAUGGAUGAAAAAGAUUACAUAUUUAAUACUAAAGUUUGGCAAGUGCCUACUUGUUUUAGAUUAAAAAAAGAUAAGUGCCCCAUAAUCCCUUUCUUGUCCCUCUCCUCCUAGGGGCUACAAUGGGAGGUGAAGAGGGCAAAAGGAGUGCCUAGGCAGAAGCCCAGCCUGACCCCAUCAGGGCCCGUGGGAUGCGGCCUGGCAAGAUCGGGAGGGCAUGGAUGAAGGCGAUGGAUGGAGAGAGCGGCUAGGCAAUUCCCUGGUCAUCACCGCCAAGACCAGCGGAACGUAGUAGGAGGGACACCGGCAAGGAAGACGAAGCCGAAUUUCACGUGGAAGCCUGCCGGAGUCUAGCUGGAGGAGACGGAGACAUCCACACCCAACACCCCCGCAAAUCUCUCUGCCGGGGGAAGAAGACCCAGGUGCAGAUGAUGGUGCUGUCGACGCCUUGCUGAUGGUGACAGUGCGACUGGCACUCAGAUGGAGUCGGAGACGUCGUCCUCUCGCUCAGCAUCGUCAUCAUCAUCAUCGCUGUCCUCCUCGUCGUUGUUGCUCGAGGAACUCUCGUCGUUGGUCAAGCUUUCCGCGCAGCAACCUAAGCGAGCUCCCGAACACCCAAGGACCUUGACAGAGAGCAGGGUGGCCUCCAUUAACUUGAAAUGGAGAAUGUGCCCUACCGCCAAGCUGUGGGCACGAGCAAAAGUUUUCCAGCCACGCCAAAGAAGCAUGACAUGAGGCGCGGGGAACUCCACAUCCGCCCGCAUGCUGCCGUUGCAGCAACCCCUCAUGUGCAGCCUCAACCCUAGCGGUUGUUCUACUUCCAUCACUCUUGCAAAGGGAGUGGGAACCCGAAGGCGGCUGUGCGGGGGGCCGCACAACUUAACGAUGAACUCCAGCGGCUAGUCCCUGAUGUAGCCUUCAUUCGGGGCCAGGGUGGCUAGAGGAGGAGCAAUCAGAGCGCCACUAUGUCAUCCUUGGCCCCGAGCGCCACAACGGCCGCGCCCUUGUCCUGCAGCGCCACCUCAUGCACUAGACUCUACCCCUGCAUCCCCAGCAGGGGGAGGGAGGCGUUGUCGAGUAGAAUCCCUCGUCGCCACUGCUGGAGUACUACCACAUCCUCUUCCCCUCACCAUAGUGUAAGAAGGAUGCAAGAAGAUGAAGGAGGAUAUGUGUGUGAGUAAGCACCUCACCCUGUUUGAGCUGGCGGUGAGAGGAGUGCAAGGAUGCUCGUCCAUCAAUGCACAUGGCUUCAGUUGCAUUCUGGAAUUCUUGCUCACUAGUCUCUUCUUAUUCACCUUGAUCACUAUCAUCAUCACCUUCUUUCUUCUUGCAGCCUCUAGCAGGUUUCUCUUUUUGCUGAGGGGUCUUGCCGCGGUAGCCUCCUCUACCGCCACGGCCCUUCUCGCCAGCACCUUCUUGGUCUCUCUCCUUGUCGCGCUUCUCAUACUCAACUUUCUGCUUCUUGACAAGUUGCUCAACUUGAUGACACUCUUGGAGAUCAUGGCCCUUAGUGCAGUGGAUUUUGUAGUACGACCAUCCAACUUCCCAAGUUUCUCAGCCACCGCAGCCUCUAGGCAGUCAGCGCAUGCGGCAGCUUCCUUGCCGGGUGAGGGAGUCCUGGAUUAAGGGGUCCUCGGACAGCCGGACUAUGUACUUGUGCCGGACUGUUGGACUAUGAAGAUACAAGAUUGAAGAUUUUGUCCCGUGUCCGGGUGGGACUCUCCUUUCCGUGGAAGGCAAGCUUGGCAAUUCGGAUGUGUAGAUCUCCUUCUCUAUAACCGACUCUGUGUAACCCUAGCCCCCUCUGGUGUCUAUAUAAACCGGAGGGUUUAGUCCGUAGGACAACGACAAUCAGAAUCAUAGGCUAGCUUCUAGGGUUUAGCCUCUAUGAUCUCGUGGUAGAUCAACUCUUGUAAUACUCAUAUCAUCAAGAUCAAUCAAGCAGGAAGUAGGGUGUUACCUCCAUCAAGAGGGACCGAACCUGGGUAAACAUUGUGUCCCCCGCCUCCUGUUACCAUUAGCCUUAGACGCACAGUUCGGGACCCCCUACCCGAGAUCCGCCGAUUUUGACACCGACAUUGGUGCUUUCAUUGAGAGUUCCACUGUGCCAUCACGGUAAGGCUUGAUGGUUCCUUCAAUCAUCUGUAACGAUGCGAUCCAGGGUGAGGUUUUCCUCCCCGGACAGAUCUUCAUAUUCGGCGGCUUCGUACUGCAGGCCAACUCGCUUGGCCAUCUGGAGCAGAUCGAUAGCUACGCCCCUGGCCAUCAGGUCAGGUUUGGAAGCUUGAACUACACUGCCGACAUCCGCAGAGACUUGAUCUUCGACGGAUUCGAGCCCAUGAUAGGCGUGUCGUACAAUCACGAUGAGCAUGACUUAGUUCUAUCAUUGGACAACGUUCGGGAGAACGCACCUGCAGCUGCCCUGGCCUUAGAUCUGGAGCAGAUCGUGCCAUCCAAGGACGGGUAGAUAGACCCCGCCACGGACGCCGCACACUCAUCGGCGCUAGAGCCGAACACAGACUUCACCUCCAAAGAGGUACAUGUCAUCGGACCCUCGGACUCGUCUCCGGCCAUAGGUUCCGAACCACGCGCAUCCAUGCCUAUCGAAUCUAAUUGGACACCGAUCAUGGAGUUUACCUCCGCAGAUAUCUUUUAGCACUCACCCUUGGGCGACGUGCUAAAUUCACUGAAAUCUUUCUCCCUGUCAGGAGACUCUUGGGCCGAAUACAACAGACCAGACUCAUUUGAACUGCAUCAUGAUGUAGCCCGGCAUAGAGGCGCCGCACAUCCCCUAUGCUUCACUGAUGAAGUAAUGGAUCAUGAAUUCCGAGAAGGGUUUAAACCCAUGAACAUUGAAUCAUACGAUGGUACAACAGACCCCGCAGUAUGGAUUGAAGAUUUCCUUCUCCACAUUCACAUGGCCCGUGGCGAUGAUCUACAUGUCAUCAAGUACCUCCCACUAAAACUCAAAGGACCGGCUCGACAUUGGCUAAAUAGCCUGCCGACAAACUCCAUUGGCAGUUGGGAGAACAUGUAAGACGCAUUCCUUGACAAAUUCCAGGGCACUUAUGUGUGACCACCGGAUGCCGAUGACUUAAGUCACAUAACCCAAUAGCCCGGAGAGUCAGCCAGGAAAUUCUGGACUCGGUUCCUAACUAAAAAGAACCGAAUUGUCGACUGCCCGGAUGCUGAAGCCCUAGUGGCCUUUAAGAAUAACAUCCGUGAUGAGUGGCUCGCCCGACACCUCGGCCAAGAGAAGCCGAAGUCCAUGGCAACUCUCACGACACUCAUGACCCGCUUUUGUGCGGGCGAGGACAACUGGCUGUCUUGUAGCAACAACACAUCAAGAAAUCCUGGCACUUCAGAUGCCAAAGAUAGCAACGGCAAGCCCUGAUGCAACAGACACAAGCGUCGCAACAAUGGCGACAACGCCGAAGACACAACAGUCAAUGCCGGAUUCAGUGGCUCUAAGUCCGGUCAGCGGAAAAAGCCAUUCAAAAGAAACAAUCCGGGCCCGUCCAGUCUGGACUGCAUACUCGAUCGCUCAUGUCAAAUUCAUGGCACCCCCGAUAGCCAACCACACCAACAGAGAAUGUUGAGUGUUUAAACAGGCCGGCAAGUUGAAUACCAAAAACAAGGAAAAGGGGCCGCAUAGUGAUGACGACGAGGAGCCACGGCUGCCGAACACAGGAGGACAAAAGAAAUUUCCUCCCCAAGUGAAAAUGGUAAAUAUGAUAUACGCCACCCAUAUUCCCAAGCGGGAGCAGAAGCACGCACUAAGGGACGUCUACGCGAUCGAGCCAGUCGCCCCAAAGUUCAACCCGUGGUCUUCUUGUCCGAUUACUUUCGAUGACAGGGACCACCCCACCAGUAUCCAUCAUAGCGGUUUGGCCGCGUUGGUCCUUGACCCCAUCAUUGAUGGAUUCCACCUCACACAAGUCCUAUGGACGGUGGCAGCAGCUUGAACCUGCUCUAUCAGGAUACAAUGCGCAAAAUGGGCAUCGAUCCCUCAAGGAUCAAACCCACGAAAACCACCUUUAAAGGUGUCAUACCAGGUGUAGAGGCCUGUUGCACGGGCUCAACCACACUGGAAGUAGUCUUCGGAUCUCCGUACAACUUCCGAAGCGAGGAGUUAAUCUUCGACAUCGUCCCCUUCCGCAGUGGCUAUCACACACUGCUCGGACGAACCGCAUUUGCUAGAUUCAAUGCGGUACCGCAUUACGCAUACCUCAAGCUCAAGAUGCUAGGACCUCGCGGGGUUAUAACAGUUAAUGGAAACACAGAGCGCUCGCUCCGUACGGAGGAGCAUACUAUGGCCCUCGUAGCAGAAGUACAGAGCAGCCUUCUUAGGCAGACCUCCAAUGUGGCAAUAAGGCCCCCGGACACCGUCAAGCGAGUCCGAAGUACUCUGCAACAGGAUCGUCUGACACGUCCAGAGCUCGCCUAGCAAUCCGGCCUCCUUCCUAGUCCCAGUCAAGCGGUGAAAUUUGUGCCGCACGUACAUAAUUACGCACUUAAAAUACCAUGGGCAUAGGCGGCGGCACGACUACGGUCCACAAUGCGGCUUAAUCGCCCCAGGAUCUGUAUACCUCUACCCCCUUCUUUCUUUCAGAUACCUAUUCUUGGAGGCUCUCCCGAUAGCCCGACUAUCGGACCCAUCACGGGACGGAAACACCAAGGAGGCAAUGAGCUUUGGCGUACAAAGGAAUCCCCAGGUGGUCUCUGAUAUUGAUCGCUAUACCUGUUUUACAUACCCGUACGCAGCUCGCCUUUGGUCAGGACAUGUCAAAUAGUCCUAUUUUGCUUAUCGCACCGCUUGUAUACAUACGCCUUGACAUAUUAUUCAAAUAACAAUGGAAAAUAAUGUACAACAUUAGCUUAUUAUUACAUUUCUUUAUCUUUUUCCUUGAGUGCUUAUUUAUUAAAAAUUGCACCCGUAGAUUUUGGUACAUUCAGUCCGCUAGGGGCUUCAGUGUACCCCAUAACACACCAAAAAAAGUCUGAACACUUUCGACAGUGCGGCACCCCGAACUUAUAGCAUUAUAUGCAUCAGCUCUGAAUCAUGUCUUGGGUCAAUAGUUGGGUUUGCCCGGCUCCCAUGUUUUGCUGACUUAUGUUCCGCUACAUCGGCUAAGGUGGCACAGGGAGAACUACUAUGAUUGUGUCCUGGUUCUUCCGGACGAGCACCUCAGUAGAGAAUGCCGAAAACUGACUGUCAUGAUGCGGCGAGAGCUGGUCGCUGUUCGAGAGGUCUCAAAUCCUUAAAGAUUUUUUCCGCUUCGGGCGAGGAAUCGGCCUUUUCCUAUUUAGGCGUGUAUAGCACCCCAAGUUCGGCCUUCCGAAUACCAGGGGCUAUGCCACUAUUUAAAAUUAUAGACUUCUAUGACUAAGUGAGAGUGAUAAAGCUGUAUAGUCUGAUUGCCUUGUUCGUUGCGCUAAACACCUCCUUAAAGGACCAAAGAUUUGGAUAAAGAGUGUUUAGGUUUAUCUCGAACACCCCGGUACUAGUUACAUGGGGGCAGAAGCCGACGACUGGCCAACUCUCAGAUUUUAUAAACGGCCGCACAGAAGGUAAAAUUUUAAAUCAACAAGCGUUAUAUAGCGCAAAUGAACUCGUUUUCAUAUUACAGGAUCACAUGAGUACAUUCAUUCAAAUAUUACAUCCUUAGCACACUCCUCCGCCACAAGGCGGGCGACCUUCAGGACACUGUCAUAAUACUUUUCGAGGUGGCGGUGCUCCUUUCCCUUCGGCGCCCCCUCCGUCACCAUCUUCUCAAUAUCCAUCUUUGCCCAGUGCACUUUCGCAUGGGCGAAGGCCCUGCGCGCACCUUCAAUGCAGACUGACUGCUUUAUGGCUUCAAGCCGCUGGCAGACGUUUACAAGCCGCUUCACGAGGCCAAAGUAGCUGUUGGGCAAGGGCUCAGUAGGCCACAUCCAGACUAUAAGGUCCUUCAUGGCCAGUUUGGCCGCCUUGUACAAUUCGACCAGUUGCUUCAGCUGGUCGCUCAAGGGCAUCGGAUGUUCGGUCCCAAUAUAUUGAGACCAGAACAACUUUUCCGUCGAGCUCCCUUCUUCGGCCCGGUAGAACUCCGCGACAUCUGAUAUGUUGCAUGGCAGAUCUAUGAACGCUCCUGGAGAGCUCCGAAUUCGGGUAAGUAAAAGGAAAGUUUCCUUCACAUGCUUGCUUUGCAUGAUGAAUGCCUUACCCGCCGCUAUCUUCUUGGUUGCCUAAAUCUCCUGGAGGGCCCUUUGGGCUUUGGCUUUGGCGUCUCGCACGCUCUGGAGGGCCUCAGCAAGCUCGGACUCUCGCGUCUUAGAGUCAUGCUCCAAGGACUCGUAUUUUUUGACAAAAUCCUAGAGCUCUUGCUGGACCUCAUCGACACGGGCCUCUUGCUUCUCACGCUCGGUUCGCUCCUUGGUUGCUUUGUCUUCGGCCUCGGAAAACACCUUCUUAAGGGCCGCCACUUCGGUCGUGGCCCCUAUUAAAGUUCAUGACACUUCUAUAAACUAAAACCAUUUUUCUUUAUCAAUAUACAGAUGGGGUAUCACUUACCUUUGUUCUCCUCGAGCUGCCUCUUCACGAGGACGAGCUCUCCCUCAGUCCGCUCCAGGUCCUGCUUCAGUCCAGAGACCUCCGCAGUACGAGCGGCAGCGGCCAGUAGUGACACCUGCUUAUUCACAUGGACAUUUUCUGUUAGACUCCUGCGGAUGUUAUUUUAUCCUCUGUUCAGCCUUUCUUUUCCGAACGCCAAGCAGAGCAUCAGGGGCUACUGUCUAUACUAUGAUAUUUUCUCAUAAUUUGAUUACUUACCUCAAAGCCUGUUAGGAGGCUGGCGCGGUCUUCGGUCAAUCUGCUUUUGGCUGACCGAACCUUCUCGAUCACCGCACUCAUGAUGGUGCGGUGCUCUUCGUCAAUGGAAGCGCCGCGAAGCACUUCCAGCAAGUUAUCUGAUGCCUAUGGAUGGACAGAGGUCAUCGGCACGGACGGCUCGCCCACCUUAGAGAGAGGCUGCCUGCCUGAAUCCGGAACCACCGCGGGUUCCGGUGCAACAUCCGGCUGAGGGCCAGACUUGUUGCGGCCCCCAUCAUCAGCAUCCAUGGGGGUCUUCCCUCCCAUGUGCCCGUUGUCUGGGAUUUUGCCUUGGGGCGUCUCCAGAACUGUCUCCUCCUGGUCCGGUAUCCUCUGAGACAACACCUCGGUGUCGUCUGCGGGCCAGGGGGAGGUGGCCAUUGGGAGUGAAUCGUUAUUCAUCGCCGACUGGCCCAAAGACCCAUCCGAGGAGGAUACGUCGAUGUGGGCUUUGGCCGGACUACACGAUCAUGUUUGGCAUGAUAAGAAACGAUAAAGCAGAACAUACCGGAAGUAUUAUAGUGCCCGGAUACUUACGACUUCGCCAGGGGCUUGUCCCUGGGCAACCACUCCUUGCCGCUGUAGGCGGCUGUGGUGGAGUGGUCCAGAGGGAGGGUCUUUCCUUUCUUGGACCCUUCGGCCUUCCCGGAUGGGGCGACCUUCCUUUUCUUUUCCCCCUGGUUUGGGGGGGGGGGNNNNNNNNNNNNNNNNNNNNNNNNNNNNNNNNNNNNNNNNNNNNNNNNNNNNNNNNNNNNNNNNNNNNNNNNNNNNNNNNNNNNNNNNNNNNNNNNNNNNNNNNNNNNNNNNNNNNNNNNNNNNNNNGGGGGGGGGGGAGGGAGGGAUUUCCUCUUACUCAUCCUCAUUUUCGUUGGAGGAGCAUGCUUUGGUGUCUUUGGACGAUGAGUCUGAUACAACCUUGCACCGGAGAACUUUCCUGGUCCCCACGACCUUCUUCUUGGCCUUCUUCUCCGGCACCUCGUAGGGCGCCGGAAACAACAUCUUCGUUAAGAUAGGCGAUGCUGGAUCUUCGGGUAAUGGAGCUGGACAGUCAAUCCACUCCGCUAUCGCUACCCAGUCAUGUCAGAUUGGCAUGGAGGUUCAGAUUCCUCCCGCGGGUGUGCUAGUAAAAGGCACAUCUUGCAAAAUAUAAAAACUCACCGGGUUGGCGGGGCGCUUUGCACUGAGUCCGCGAUCUUCGACUAUGGGUGGUGGUACCUCGGCGGCCUUGAACAGCACCUUCCAGACAUCUUCGUGCGUCAUGUCGAAGAGCUCUCGCAGCGUCUGGUGUUCGGCUGGGUCGAACUCCCACAUAUUGAAAGCCCGUCUCUAACACGGAAGGAUCCGGUGGAAGAGCAUGACCUGGACCACGUUGACAAGCUUGAUUUUCUUGCUUAUCAUAUUUUUGACGCAGGUUUGCAGUCCGGUCAGCUCCACCGACGAGCCCCAGGCUAAGCCCUUCUCUUUCCAGGAGGUGAGCCGCAUGGGGAUGCCGGAUCGUAAUUCGGGGGCCGCUGCCCAGUUGGUGUCGCGUGUCUCGAUGAUGUAGAACCACCCCGAUUAUCACCCCUUCACGGUCUCCACAAAGGAGCCUUCGGGCCAAGUGACAUUGGGCAUCUUGCCCACCAUGGUGGCGGCACUCCACUUGCUGGCCGACCACCACCUUCGGCUUCACGUUGAAGGUCUUCAGCCAUAGGCCAAAGUGGGGCGUAAUGCAGAGGAAGGCCUCGCACACGACGAUAAAUGCCGAUAUGUUGAGGAUGAAAUUGGGGGCCAGAUCAUGGAAGUCCAGCCCGUAGUAAAACAUGAGCCCGCGGACAAAUGGGUGGAGGGGGAAUCCCAGUCCGCGGACAAAGUGAGAGAGAAACACUACCCUCUCCUGAGGCUUCAUGGUAGGAAUGAUCUGCCCUUCGGUAGGGAACCGGUGCGCGAUGUCUGCGGCCAGGUAUCCGGCUUCCUGAAGCUUCGUGAUGUCCUCCGCCUUAAUGGAGGAGGCCAUCCACUUGCCUCCCGCUCCGGACAUGCUUGGAAUGACUUUGCGGAGAAGGAGAAAGCUUGGGAGCUAGAGCUCGAGCGAGGGGGAAUGGAUGAGCAGAGGAAGAAGAAGGUGUGGGUGGAGAAAGGUGGAUCCUUAUCUCUUUAUAAAGGCGGUAGAAACCAUGCACCUCCCCACUCGCCCCGUAAACUCGCUUAUUCCCCAAGCAUCGUGUUGAUGGCGCGGUUGGGUUACCCACACCUGUAUUGAUGAGAAUCCCGUGAUAAGGGGACACGAUCUCUACUUCGACAAGACGUGCCAAGGAAACCGCCUCACAAUAUGUGCAACAGCUGGUUGAGAAAAAUGGUUCGAAUAAUGACCGGGUCAUGGCGUGAUGUCACGCUAUGAAAAGUUGUCAGCAGAUUAGAUUUGUGGAAUAUUGUACUCUCUACGGUGGUAUGUGGAAUUUUUUUUGCAGAGCCGGACACGAUCCUUGUGUUCAAAAUCUUCUAUGGAGUAUUAGGAGAAGGAACCCGCCUUGCAAUGCCGAAGACAAUCUGCGCGCCGGACUCAUCGUCAUUGAAGCCUGGUUCAGGGGCUACUGAGGGAGUCCUGUAUUAAGGGGUCCUCGGACAGCCGGACUAUGUACUUGUGCCGGACUGUUUGACUAUGAAGAUACAAGAUUGAAGACUUCGUCCCAUGUCCCGGUGGGACUCUCCUUUGCAUGGAGGGCAAGUUUGGCAAUUCGGAUAUGUAGAUCUCCUUCUCUGUAACUGACUAUGUGUAACCCUAGCCCCCUCCGGUGUCUAUAUAAACCGGAGGGUUUAGUCCGUAGGACAACGACAAUCAGAAUCAUAGGCUAGCUUCUAGGGUUUAGCCUCUACGAUCUCGUGGAAGAUCAACUCUUGUAAUACUCAUAUCAUCAAGAUCAAUCAAGCAGGAAGUAGGGUAUUACCUCCAUCGAGAGGGCCCGAACCUGGGUAAACAUUGUGUCCCCGCCUCCUGUUACCAUUAGCCUCAGACGCACAGUUCAAGACCCCCUACCCGAGAUCCACCGGUUUUGACACCGACACCAGGGGCUUCGGUUUUGGCCUUUUUGCCGGUACUAGGGUUGCUAGAAUCUUCAAUAGCCAGCACUGACUUUUCCUUGCGCUUUUUAUUGCGCUUCCAGUUCUUCCCCUUCGGGUUGGUGGACUUGUCGUCAUCCUCGGAAUCAACCUCGACGUCGUCCUCCUCCCUGGGGAGUCGCCUUCCUUCCUCCAUAUGGGGCACUUAUCUGCCAAGGUGUAUAACUCAUUUACAGUCUUGGGCAACCAGACGUUCAUUUUGGAACGUAUCCUUCUAUUUCACAUGUUCGACUGGAACGCAACAAUUACAGCUGCUAGGUGGAUCUCUGGAAUGUUCUUGUGUACCCGGCUAAACCUCUGCAUAUACUUCUACAACUCUCCCCUUCCUUCCGUGCAAGGAUUUACAAACCACUGUGUCAUCCAGGUUCUUGAUGGUGGCCCGUGAAGGUGCCAAAAAAUCCAUUGCACAAGUCAGCCCAUGAUGAAAUGGAAUUCUCGGGCAGGUGCAUCAGCUAUGACCUCACAUUUGGCUUGAGCGCUAAAGGGAAGUAGUUGGCGAACACCUUCUCAUCCCUACCUCCAGCGGCUUGAAGAGGAAUUGUAUAAAUGCUCAAGAACUCUACCGGGUUCAGCUUUCCAUUGUACUUUGCUGGCAACUCAGUCUUGAAGACGUACGUGGGAAGAAGGCCAGCGGACUUGCGCAGCUCGCGAGUGAAGGCAGGGCACCCAACCUCAAAAGGUAAGUACCUUGUAGCGACCCGACCCGAAUGGAUCGAAUCUCUGUGCUUAAGUGUCAUCCCUGGAUCGCUAUGCUGACACACACAGUACUCAAGGAUUUAUAACAGAGGUAAAUCACAUGUAUAAAGUAACGUAAAUACUAUUACCUCAAAUCCAAAUAGUGGAAGUAACAAGGUUGUGGAUUCCCAUCAACACCAACGGCAAAGUUGAGUGUAGAAACCAUAACCCUAACGUAUCACUUACUCGUCGUAAGAUCCUGCAACAUGAGACGUUGCAGCCAUGUAGGUCAGUACAUUGAAUGUACUGGCAAAUCCACACCAUAGAGCAAUGAUGAAUAAAGGCUAUCACUACAUGCAUAUUUGGCUGGUGGAGGCUCUAUGGUUAUAAUCUUUUUGCGAAAAGCCAAUUUUUCCCUACUUCAAAGGAAUAAAAUUUUAUUUACUAUCAUGGUGGUUGUUAAACAUUGAGAAUGGUUGACAGCAUUCUCAAUCCCAAUUAAGUAACAUCAUCAUUAAAACCCAACAAUAUUAAUUGUAGUAACAUGAUGAGAUCAACAUGAUAAUCCAAGAACUAGAUACUCAAGAUGUCCAUAACCGAGGACACGGCUAAUCAUGAUUAGUUUGUACACUUUGCAGAGGUUUGCGCACUUUUCCCCACAAGACUCAAUCACCUACGUUGGAUUUCUCGCACUACACGGUGUUUGAGAAACGGAUGACCGAGACAUAGUCUUUCAGAAGCGCUAGCACCUUACGAUGUGAUAGACCGUACCAACCUACAUCCCCUACAGCUGCUAGUCUACCACUGUAAGAGUUCGCACGACUUAGUCAGCUAUGCUAGAGCCCAUAGUAGCAUGUGGCUGCACACGGAAGUUUCUAGCAUGAAUAAUCUUAUGAUCCCUUUGAGCCUGGGUGGCGGUCCGAAGAAAAACAGGCAAAUCCUGGAAACCAGGUACCUCAAUCCACCCAGAUGUGUAUUAAUGUUGCCACCUUAAACAAACCAUUAAUUAACAAUCUCACAUCUGUCAUGGAAAAUCACUCAUCCAAUCCACAUCUACUUGUAUAGCAUGGCAAAAUAAGCAAACGUAGAAGUAACUCCCAAGGGUUUGAUAAUAAAACAGGUAAUAGGUACUACCUCAAUCUACUUCCCGAAACCCACAAUUUAAUUAGAUCCAAAUCAUGCAAUGUUUGAGGAUUGAUCUAAUGCAUAAAAACUGGGUAUGAAAAGGGAUAUGAUCAAAGUGUGAACUUGCCUGUACUGUUGAUGAAGAUGAUUCGCACUCAAUUCCUGAUAGUUCUAUUCGUCUCACUCCGUUCAAUCUAUCGUAAGCAAGCAAUAGUAACCACACAUAAGCAAUCACUCAAAAGAUCAGAGAGAACGAAGAAAACAAAUCGGAAAACAUCAAAACCAGCCAAAUAACUCUUACAGCAUAAAACAAUUUCUAACAGUACCAAAACUAUGUGAAUUUGGCCUUAUCAGAAAGUUUAUGUCAAGAGCUUCGUUUUGCAAAAGAAUCAACUAAAUCGGAGUUACGAAACUCAAGUUACAAACGAAACAAGAUUGAAUAAUAAACUGGACUAAACUCAAUUUUUAAAUUGUCAAAAACAUGUUUAAGUUGUUUAUCUGGAUAGAGGGGAUCAUAACGAAGAAGUGAGCGCUGGUUUCGUUGGAUUCCGACUAAUGAACAAAAAGUAGUGAUUGUUUUAAGAACAGGGACUAAUCUGUAAAUAAAAUAUUCACAGACGGGUCCCUGGCCGAAAUAAACAGAAAUCAGAAAGGCUAAAUAGUGAAUGUUCGUUUAUAAGAUCUAAAUAGUGGACGUUCGCUGUUUACUAAAACCUAAAAAAAACAGAUCUAGUCUAGGGUUUAAGAAAAACCGAACCUAAAAGAAAAACCGAUCAGACCGGGGCGGUUUUAUACCGGUUGGCAGUGGUUUUCGACGAAGAACCAGCGACGGUGGUUACUCCGGCGAAACGAGAUGGCGGCGGCGGCUCGGGUCCGGCCGGGGCGGCAGCUCCGUUGGCCCUCUGGCUCGGCGGAGUGAACGGGGGGGAUGCGGUGCGGGACGACGGUGAGAUGGGUGGUGGCUGCGGCGGUGGUGCAACACGGUGGCGGUGGCAGUUGGCAUCGGCGGCGGCGGCAACCGAUGGCGGCGGCGGCGAAUCCGGCGAGGGGCGGCGGUGGCGGCGAAAACGGGACCCAGGGGCCCCGGGGUGGCCUUUUAAAGAGGGCAGGAGAGGACGGUGGCGUGGGGAAGGGGGCACGGAGGCCGGGGCGGACACGGCGGCGGCGACGAUGCCGUGGCAGCUCGGGACUUCGUCCCGAGCUCGGGAACAAGCGGCGUGGGCGACGUGGGCUGGCUGGGCCGUGGCCUGGCUGGCUAGCUGGGCCGGCCCAGUUGGCGGAAGUUUUUUUAUUAAACAGACAAACAAAAUAAAAACAAACGAAAUAGAAAUAUUAUAUACGCAUAUAAUAUGUCAAAAUUUUCAAAAAAAGAUUUCCUACAAGCUGAACAUUUUUCUAGAGUCAAAUACAAUACACACAAAUUCAAAUAAAGCAAAGAGUGCUUCUGCUCUAGUAAAAUCCAGUAAAAAUCAUUUUAAAAAUACUAAAAUUAAUUCAAAUUUAUUUCUCUCCAAUUUUCUGAUGUAGGGAAUCAUGUUGCCCUAUUUUCCAUAUAUUUAAAUUUUUGGAGAAAAAUAAUUUGAAUAAAACUCGAAUAACUCCAAAUUGAAAAUAAAUUCAAAAGAACUUUGAAUUUAAUUCUUUGAAACUCCCAACUCAUAUUUCAUAUGUUUUGAAGAAGUCAUUUUAUCUUCGCACGUGAAAAUCAUUGAGUUGCAUAAAGUUCCUGGGUUGGAAAUAUUUUCCAAAUGAAAUUCAAUUAUUUUCAACACCCCUUGUCAUUUAAAUAAAUGGAAGAAGUCAUGUCGUCUUCUCUCCAGGGUUUUGUGGUGAAAAGAAUUUGAAUUCAUGAAGAUCAAAAUGCAAAAUGAAAGUUUGGGAAAGUCCUUUUAUUCCCUCUCAUUUAACUUUCAAAAAGUUUCAAAAUCACUCAAUUUCACACAAGCAAUCAAACAAUCAAUCAAAACUAUCUAUUUGUUUAUAACAUUCCAAAAUUUAGAAUUUUGGGAUGUUACAAACCUACCACCCUUAAAAUAAAUCUCGUCCUCGAGAUUCAGAGAGGCUAGCAAGAAAUAGGUUAGGGUCGAGGUCUUCUCAAAAUCCAUCGAUCGUCACAGGGGGUCUCGGGUGCUACCACCCUUAGAAGCAUUGUUACGGUUCCAUCAAAACUCAUAUACUCCAUCCUUAUUCCUGACAGUGUCGGUCUUCUCAAAUCUCGGGAAAAAUUCCUUCUCUGGGAUCUUCGGGUAGUGGCUUAACCUUUUCCUCAAUUCUUUUAUCCUUUCAUCUUGGUACGUUUCUUCUGGGACUGGGUAUUCAUAGCUGACGGGUCUGGCGCCAAUACUAAACAACUAUCGAUAUCUCAUGGUCGUCAACAGUUUAUGGUUGCUCCUGCAGGAAAUGGGUCUGGGUUGAACCUCAUCGUAUAUCCUAAUAUUGGCAACAACUGCCAUGUACAAGGAAACGUACUUAUACAAUUCUAAGGUUUAAACAAGGUUUUGAUCGUCGUCUGUCUACUAUGGGUAAGGCACUCAGAUUUACCAUCCCACAUAGUAAGGCGAAUAAUAAGAGUAAGUCGGUAUGGUGAUCAAUCCAUCCCGCACCCGAAUCAUUAUCUUGUAUAUGGUUUAGCGAAUCUCGCAUGCUAACACUCGGUCAACCUCACAAGCAUUGCAGAAUUUCUCUUGUCGACGAACCAAGUUCGGAUAAAUCCAUUGAUUCUGCAAGCCAAACAAACAUCUAUCAUUUUCCUCACAACUCUCAGGUUUUGCGUUGCUCCUAUAAAAUCGUUGGUUGAUAAAGGCAUAUCCUCUUCCAGGGUUUUUCCUUCAGCAAGAGUGUGCUUGCUUCUUGGCAGGUCCUGGGGCCUGUGGGUUAUGGCCCAUCUCAUCACUUGUAAACCUUGAACUCAUCCUCGAGGCAACUGAUCAUUAUACAAACAUCCAACUUCCUAGCAUUCAUAAAUCCAUCCAAUGGUACUGUCUUCCUUCCUUCUACUGGUACACAACUAAGAAGUGAUUACUCAAACUCAUCCUGGAGAUACAAUUGCCCCAUACUUCCAACAUCAUACCUCCUUUAUAUCCAACCGUACUUCAUCCCUUCAUACUCUUGGGAUAUCCCACAUAUCACGACAAAACUCGUACUUGUUUAGUCCGAAAUCCACUCUGUGGAAUAUCAUUACCCUUUCCAGGGGUCAAAUCUCCUCACAAGGUACUACCACCCUUAAAAUGCUCUAAUCUCAUCCAUAGACCUUAUUUCUCAUAUCCUCGAAAAUGGUCAAGAUCUUUGUUCAUAGAGUAACAACUCAUAAAAUCCAAAUCAGUACCAACGAUGAUAACUUUAUUGAUUCUCCAAUUACUACAAUCUCCUGUAUUUACAUUACAUGCCUCAACUCAACACCUCAAUAUAAAAGAAUUGUUCCCACUACUACUACUACUACUACAUUUCUUUUGUUGCUAACUCAACUAUUUAGCACAAGUCUCCUUCUCCUUGGGACAAUCUCUUGCAAAUUGCCCUUCUUCAUUUCAACGAAAACAUAUUACUUCCGACAAGUCUUGAAGUUUCCUUGUGAUUACAUAGCCUCCUUGGGUCCUCGGCUUCCUUUUUGGGCAACUGCUGGAGUAGUGCCCUAACUCCUUGCACCUGAAACAAGUGAUGUGACUCAGGUCCUUCCUGGAAUCCAAUCUAUUUCUCUUCCUGGACUUUUCUGUUCCAAUCAGGGCUUCUAUUUCCUAUGGGUUAUACUCUACUUCCUUUGUCGGAAAUUCUACUAGAUCUCCAUUCGGACAAUCUUGGGAGAUGUGUCCUUCUUCUCCACAUGAAUAGCAUGACUUAAUGCAUGCUUUAAUUUUGUUUCCCUUGUGUGUGUCCUCGACAUCUUCCUUCAUCACAGGUUCUUCUAAAGUUUCCUUGAGGGCUCCUUUCAUUGUUUCUUUCUUUUGCUGGAUGGUUCCCUGUACCAUGGGGUAAAUGUGACACUGAGCAGGGUAGUGGCUAGUUCCUUCACACAAUAAACAAUUAAUCUGCCUAGUUGGGCAUUCUUCAGCUGGGUGACUUCCUUCACAAUUAAGGCAUUCAUCCUGGUGUUCUUUAGGGUUGUGUCCUAUUUCUCCACAAAUCUUACAUGCACACGGCUUCUUCAUAUCCUUUCCAUAAGGCUUCAUCUUCUGGGACACAAGCCGAGACUUUAGCAGAGUCAACUUAAAUUCAUUCCAAGUGGUUACUCCUUGCCAUCCAUUGAUGGUUUGGUACAACCAAGUAGCAGCACCUCUUUCAAAGCAUUGAAGAGCAUGCUGGGCCAUAUCCUUUCUGGCUAUAGGGUUAUUCUUCAUGUGAUCCUCCAUGUUCUGAAUCCAUCGGUCCGUCUCUAAUUGACUCAUCGGUCCAGGUAAUAUGAGCUCAUCUCCAUUCAUCCUCUAUUGGGUCCAAGGGUUUUGGGGUGAGACAAGAGAGAUAGAGAGGGGUACACACAAUACAAACAAUAGUUUUGAAAAGGGCAUUUUAUUUUGUGGCUGUCAGAAAAACAUCAAACGAAUGACAGCUCACAAACAUCGCAUCUAACGUAAGUAUAAUGGGGUUUGGUCUUAUAAUGGUCAAUAAAUCUUCAAGGUCUUCAAACUCUUCAAGUCUUGCUUAUGUCUUUGAUGGCUUCUUCCGAUCGUGUUUGUCCUUCUCAAGUUCUUUUGCCAAAUCAUCUCUGUUGACGCGAAGUCUCUCAUGACAUCCUUUAGUAUUUCUGGGGUUGCAUUCCAAACUUCUGGGUUUCAACAUCCUUGGCAUGAACCAUGGUCCUACUAUCCUUCAGUUCCUGACAAAUCUCCGGUAUCUUGAGGUUUAGCUCCUCCAGCUUGGCUACUUUCAGCUUCUGAUUCCGAGUGCUUCACGAAUUGCCUCCUUGUCAAAUAUAGCUUCGUGCAUAUCCAUCUUAAACUUCUUGAUGUAUUACUCCAGAUCCUAGUGAUACACCAGCUAAGGUUAAAACUGCAUCCUUUGCUGACAGAUGCUCCAUCAGCCUUCUAUCAUCCAAUCCUUCCAUGCAUCUGCAUGCUUAACACCUCACGGUGAUGAUAACAUGAGCGAGCGAUAGCAUCAUGGAUAUCCAUGUUUAUGACGAUGUCUCUGCCAUGAUCUAUCAUUCCAUAACUGAUAUCUCCUGUCUUGGGGUUUUCUUGACAAAACUUUGGUUUCUAAUGCUUCAUGCUCUAGUCUUUCUCCGAUACACCUUGAUUCUUGGGUAUUGAUAGCUUCCUUAGUCUGACAAGCUCUAUCAGAGUAGUCUUCCUAGGUCAUACCAAUCUGGAAAUUCCUUAAAGCCUUCAAAUUCUCCUAGUCUUCGGAGUCUUCAACUGUUGUAGUUUGCACGGUAAAAAUCCUCUUUAUUCCAACGUGGUCUUAAUUGUCCGAUAUCUUGUACUUCUUGGAGUGGCCUCAUCAGUCGAAUCUUCGAGGGGUCAAAAGGGGAAAAGGGGUAUAGUCUCUCUAAAAGGGAAUAUUUGAAUAAGCUCAGAAGAGAAGAGAGGUAAAAGAUCCUUUUUGAAAAGAAAAUUGUAGAGAAAAUCUUUCCUAUUGGCUUGCCAGUUUCUAGGGUCACAUCCUACAGUCAACAUGUGCUCUAAUACCAUCUUGUAGCGACCCAACCCGAAUGGAUCGAAUCUCUGUGCUUAAGUGUCAUCCCUGGAUCGGUAUGCUGAUACACACAGUACUCGAGGAUUUAUAACAGAGGUAAAUCACAUGUAUAAAGUAACGUAAAUACUAUUACCUCAAAUCCAAAUAGCGGAAGUAACAAGGUUGUGGAUUCCCAUCAACACCAAUGGCAAAGUUGAGUGUAGAAACCGUAACCCUAACGUAUCACUUACUCAUCGUAACAUCCUGCAACAUGAGACGUUGCAGCCAUGUAGGUCAGUACAUUGAAUGUACUGGCAAAUUCACACCAUAGAGCAAUGAUGAAUAAAGGCUAUCACUACAUGCAUAUUUGGCUGGUGGAGGCUCUAUGGUUAUAAUCUUUUUGCGAAAAGCCAAUUUUUCCCUACUUCAAAGGAAUAAAAUUUUAUUUACUAUCAUGGUGGUUGUUAAACAUUGAGAAUGGUUGACAACAUUCUCAAUCCCAAUUAAGUAACAUCAUCAUUAAAACCCAACAAUAUUAAUUGUAGUAACAUGAUGAGAUCAACAUGAUAAUCCAAGAACUAGAUACUCAAGAUGUCCAUAACCGAGGACUUGGCUAAUCAUGAUUAGUUUGUACACUCUGCAGAGGUUUGCGCACUUUUCCCCACAAGACUCGAUCGCCUCCGUUGGAUUUCUCGCACUACAUGGUGUUUGAGAAACGGAUGACCGAGACAUAGUCUUUCAGAAGCGCUAGCACCUUACGAUGUGAUAGACCGUACCAACCUACAUCCCCUACAUCUGCUAGUCUACCACUGUAAGAGUUCGCACGACUUAGUCAACUAUGCUAGAGCCCAUAGUAGCAUGUGGCUGCACACAGAAGUUUCUAGCAUGAAUAAUCUUAUGAUCCCUUUGAGCCUGGGUGGCGGUCCGAAGAAAAACAGGCAAAUCCUGGAAACCAGGUACCUCAAUCCACCCAGAUGUGUAUUAAUGUUGCCACCUUAAAUAAACCAUUAAUUAUCAAUCUCACAGCUGUCAUGGAAAAUCACUCACCCAAUCCACGUCUACUUGCAUAGCAUGGAAAAAUAAGCAAACGUAGAAGUAACUCCCAAGGGUUUGAUAAUAAAACAGAUAAUAGGUACUACCUCAAUCUACUUCCCGAAACCCACAAUUUAAUUAGAUCUAAAUCAUGCAAUGUUUGAGGAUUGAUCUAAUGCAUAAAAACUGGGUAUGAAAAGGGAUAUGAUCAAAGUGUGAACUUGGUUGUACUGUUGAUGAAGAUGAUUCGCACUCAAUUCCUGAUAGUUCUAUUCAUCUCACUCCGUUCAAUCUAUCGUAAGCAAGCAAUAGUAACCACACAUAAGCAAUCACUCAAAAGAUCAGAGAGAACGAAGAAAACAAAUCGGAAAACAUCAAAACCAACCAAAUAAUUGUUGCAGCAUAAAACAAUUUCUAACAGUACCAAAACUGUGUGAAUUUGGCCUUAUCAGGAAGUUUAUGUCAAGAGAUUCGUUUCGCAAAAGAAUCAACUAAAUCGGAGUUACGAAACUCAAGUUACAGACGAAACAAGAUUGAAUACUAAUCUGAACCAAACUCAAUUUUUAAAUUGUCAAAAACAUGUUUAAGUUGUUUAUCUGGAUAGAGGGGAUCAUAACGAAGAAGUGAACGAUGGUUUCGUUGGAUUCCGACUAACGAACAAAAAGUAGUGAUUGUUUUAAGAACAGGGACUAAUCUAUAAAUAAAAUAUUCACAGACGGGUCCCUGGCCGAAAUAAACAGAAAUUAGAAAGGCUAAAUAACGAACGUUCGUUUAUAAGAUCUAAACAGUGGACGUUCGCUGUUUACUAAAACCUAAAAAAAUACAGGUCUAGUCUAGGGUUUAAGAAAAAUGGAACCUAAAAGAAAAACCGAUCAGACCGGGGCGGUUUUAUACCGGUUAGCAGCGGUUUUCGACGAAGAACCGGCGACGGCGGUUACUCCGGCGAAACGAGACGGCGGUGGCGGCUCGGGUCCGGCCGGGGCAGCANNNNNNNNNNNNNNNNNNNNNNNNNNNNNNNNNNNNNNNNNNNNNNNNNNNNNNNNNNNNNNNNNNNNNNNNNNNNNNNNNNNNNNNNNNNNNNNNNNNNNNNNNNNNNNNNNNNNNNNNNNNNNNNNNNNNNNNNNNNNNNNNNNNNNNNNNGGUGAGAUGGGUGGUAGCUGCGGCGGUGGUGCAGCGCGGCGGCAGCGGCAGUUGGCAUCGGCGGCGGCGGCAACCGAUGGCGGCGGUGGCGGAUCCGGCGAGGGGCGGUAGUGGCGGCGAAAAUGGGACCCAGGGGCCCCGGGGUGGCCUUUUAUAGAGGGCAGGAGAGGGCGAUGGCGUGGGGAAGGGGGCACGGUGGCCGGGGCGGACACAGCGGCGGCAACGAUGCCGUGGCGGCUCGAGACUUCGUCCCGAGCUCGGGGACGAGCGGCGCGGGCGACGUGGGCUGGCUGGGCCGUGGCCUGGCUGGCUAGCUGGGCCGGCCCAGUCGGCGGAAGUUUUUUUAUUAAACAGACAAAUAAAAUAAAAACAAAUGAAAUAGAAAUAUUAUAUAGGCAUAUAAUAUGUCAAAAUUUUCAGAAAAAGAUUUCCUACAAGCUGAACAUUUUUCUAGAGUCAAAUACAAUACACACAAAUUCAAAUAAAGCAAAGAGUGCUUCUGCUCUAGUAAACUCUAGUGAAAAAAUUUUAAAAAUACCAAAAUUAAUUCAAAUUUAUUUCUCUCCAAUUUUUUGAUGUAGGGAAUCAUGUUGCCCUAUUUUCCAUAUAUUUAAAUUUUUGGAGAAAAAUAAUUUGAAUAAAACUCAAAUAACUCCAAAUUGAAAAUAAAUUCAAAAGAACUUUGAAUUUAAUUCUUUGAAACUCCCAACUCAUAUUUCAUAUGUUUUGAAGAAGUCAUUUUAUCUUCGCUCGUGAAAAUCAUUNNNNNNNNNNNNNNNNNNNNNNNNNNNNNNNNNNNNNNNNNNNNNNNNNNNNNNNNNNNNNNNNNNNNNNNNNNNNNNNNNNNNNNNNNNNNNNNNNNNNUGCUGUUGCUGUUGCUGUUGUUGUUGCUGUUGCUAUUGUUGUUGCUGUUGCUGUUGCUGUUGUUGGUGUUGGUGUUGGUGUUGGUGUUGGUGUUGGUGUUGCUGUUGCUGUUGCUGUUGCUGUUGUUGUUGUUGUUGUUGUUGUUGUUGUUGUUCGCGGACGCGGGUGCUGAGAUUUUCCGGCCUCAGCGAAGACGAUCAAACUCUGAAUGGUGGCUCUCCACUCGUCCAGUUGAUCAGCCGUUGGUGGAAAUCUUAGCAGGAGUUGGGCCCGCGCCAUAGGUUUUGAAGUGGUGCUUGGCAUAGACGACGAGGUAGAUUGCGACGUCGCUUGACUCCUGGUAACACCAGCAGGAGCAUUGCCGCGUUCGUGCCGUCGCGAGCCGGUCACCAAGGCGGUUGGGUUACGAGUGGAGCGCGCUCAGGGAUCGGUAACCCUGUUUGGCAGUCUGCAUUGGUCUAGGCAUGGUGUGUCUCUAGCAACCGCACCCGUGGCAGGGGCUAUUGGAGGAUCACGACUCACGCUAGAGCGGGUGUUGUCACUACGGUUGCGUCCACUAGCACGGUGGGGUGGUGGGGACUGAACGUUCCCACCAUCCGCGCCUUGUGGAUUAUGGCCGUCGGGAUGUUGUUGACGACGCUCUCCCUUGGCGUCUUCCGCUCCAACCUCGACCACAGGGGACACAACGACAGCGCCGCCCGCGCUGGUCGUGUCACCUAUGGCACCUGCCUCACCUAAUGCCGCCGUAGCGCCUACGACGUCAGCGCCUACAUGCGAGGGGGCCUUCGAAGUGGAAGGAUGAGCUGCUGGGCCGGUCUUCUUCUUGGGCGCCAUGGUUGAAAAUGAUUAUGAUCAACACGUUGUUCACAACCUCGGGUUCGCGCAAGCGCCUCCCCCUUCUUGGCGCACCAAACAUGUCGUGGAGGAACACGAUCACCUAUGGGGCCACUGGCCCCUUGUGGUUCGACAAGGGGAAGAUCACAUUGCACAAAGAGCGGAGGCCAUGGAGCAAAAUGACGAUGGUGAAGCUAGUGGUUUUUACCCAGGUUUAGGCUGUCAUGAGGCGUAAAACCCUACUCCUGCUUUGGUGGAUUUGAUGGAGGAACCCAUUGAACAGUGCAACGCUCAAGCCCGGCAAGGUGACCUCGUGGAGAGCAGCUACACGCGUACAAGUAUGAAAGGGUCCGGAUCCUUUGCUAGGUUGCCUUGGACCGCCUUUUAUAGCUUAAGGGGUGACCACAGUGGCAAAAUAGUCUUUAUCUCAUGAUUAGAUAGCUAACAGUGCUAUCAUACCUAACUCUAGCAGUUAGGACAAAGUGCAUUAAAUGCACUGCUAGGUUUCAUGCUGAGGUUGCAGCCCGACAAGCCUGUCGUGCCGCUUAAUUAUCUUUUGUUUAUCUGCUUAACACGCCUCUGGACGGGUGUCAUAAAAAGGUAGUCUGUCCUCCAAAUGGUUGCCACAUGCCUAGUGGAAGCCACUUAAUCACUUGAGGGCUCGACAGUGCACUGAUAAGUGAUUUGAGUUGUGAUGCGGUCGAGCGAUGGAGCGGUGGAACCUUGGCGGGGAGAUCCGCCCUUGGCGGACCUGGCAAGCCUGCUGGGGAAAUCCUGGACUUGUCCUUGGGGCGGCCUCGACCUGGCCAGGCUCUCCUGCCCGGCAAAGGAGGCUUUCCCAAGGUGACAUCCUACUACCUUGUCUUGUCUUGGUCUUCUUGAUCCACUCUUUGAUCUCUCAAAGAGUUGCUUCUCUGCUUGGUCUCGUGUUGCAUGCUGGUGUAGUUAUUUGAUGCCAAGACGCCUGGGUAUAAGUCAGGGCAAGGAACAUAAAUGUUUGUUGCACCGACAACUGUUAUAUGUGGCUGCAUGUUAUGUAUGAUGUCUAGCUUGUAUUGCUUUUAAUUUUGUUGAAUUCCAUCUGCUUACUUCACACAUUAUACUUGUGAAUAAGACAUGCGUUCAUGUUUCUAGAACAUAUAGUAUCUGUCUAUCACACCAUAUUCUUACAUCAAAGUACUACUGUUGUGUAACCUGCAACAAUCACUUAUCAUAAGACACGUUUAACAUGGGAGUGUGAUAUAGGUUACAUCUCGCAUUCUUUUCUAGCUUGUACUACUUCUAAUUUGUUGAAAUGGCACUUAUGGUGAGACAAUUUUAACUUGGUAAAGUGAUAUUCGUUGCAUCUUUCAUAUGGUGUCUAGUUUUCAUUGCUUCUAAUUUUUUGAAAUGACUUCUGCUUAUUUUACACAUCAUAGCUGUGAAUAUGCAAUGUUGUCCUUUUUUCUUACACAUUCAAUCGUCCUAUAAUGCGGUUGCCUUGCAUUAGAGUAGUGCUCGUCAGCAUCCUGCAUCAAUGAGUUAUGAAAAGCGAUUUUUUUACAUUUUUCUCGUGGGUCUUACUUGACAAGGCAAUAAAAUUAAGUAAUAGGAAGGAAAAAAUUAAGGCAGGGACUGAUGGCGGUCUUCUGGAGAAACCGACAUCCCAAGUGCUUUCUCUAGCUAGGUAGUAUGAUAUUGUCUUGCAUGUUGCAUAAGGUGUCUAGCUUGUAUCGCUUGUAAUUUGAUUAAAUUACUUAUGCUUAGUUUACAAAAAUAGUUGUGAAUAUGCCAUGCCGUCCUCUUUUUCAUACAUAUUCCAUCCUCGUAUCAUGUGUUUACUUUACAUCAGAGUAGUUAUUGUCAGUAUCAUGCAUGAACGAGUUCUGAAGAGUGAAUUUUAUUGCUUUUUCUUGUCGGUUUUACUUGACAAUGCAAAAUCAUUAAAGUGGAAGGAAAUUAGCAAGGCAGAUGAUAAUGGUGCUCCUUCCGACCAAUUAAAAUGGAGGGCCUCUACAGAUUCUACUCUGCCAUUCUCGCUACCUCUUGAGCACUGCGUUGGUUUUCCCUUGAAUAGGAAAGGGUGAUGCAACAAAGUAGCGUAAGUAUUUCCCUCAGUUUGAGAACCAAGGUAUCAAUACAGUAGGAGGCUCCACGCAAGUCCCUCGUACCUACACAAACAAACAAGAACCUCGCAACCAACACGAUAAAGGGGUUGUCAAUCCCUUCACAGCCACUUGCGAAAGUGAGAUCUGAUAGAGAUAAUAAGAUAAGAUAAAUAUUUUUGGUAUUUUUAUGAUAUAGAUUGAAAAGUAAAGAUUGCAAAAUAAAGUAGAUUGGAAACUUAUAUGAUGGAAAAUAGACCCGGGGGCCAUAGGUGAAAUAAUGGCUUCUCUGAAGAUAGCAUAAGUAUUACGGUGCGUGAACAAAUUACUAUCGAGCAAUUGAUAGAAAAGUGCAUAGUUAUGAUAAUAUCUAGGCAUGAUCAUGUAUAUAGGCACCACGUCCACGACAAGUAGACCGACUCCUGCCUGCAUCUACUACUAUUACUCCACACAUCGACCGCUAUCCAGCAUGCAUCUAGAGUAUUAAGUUCAUAAGAACAGAGUAACACAUUAGGCAAGAUGACAUGAUGUAGAGGGAUAAACUCAAGCAAUAUGAUAUAAACCCCAUCUUUUUAUCCUCGAUGGCAACAAUACAAUACGUGCCUUGCUGCCCCUGCUGUCACUAGGAAAGGACACCGCAAGAUUGAACCCAAAACUAAGCACUUCUCCCAUUGCAAGAAAGAUCAAUGUAGUAGGCCAAACCAAACUGAUAAUUCGAAGAGACUUCCAAAGAUAACCAAUCAUACAUAAAAGAAUUCAUAGGAGAUUCAAAUAUUUCUCAUAGAUAAACUUGAUCAUAAACCCACAAUUCAUCGGAUCUCGACAAACACACCGCAAAAAGAGUUACAUCAAAUAGAUCUCCAAGAAGAUCGAGGAGAACAUUGUAUUGAGAUUCAAAGAGAGAGAAGAGGCCAUCUAGCUAAUAACUAUGGACCCGAAGGUCUGUGGUAAACUACUCACAACUCAUCGGAGAGUUAUGGUGUUGAUGUAGAAGCCCUCCGUGAUCGAUUCCCCCUCCAGCGGAGCACCGAAAAAGGCCCCAAGAUGGGAUCUCACGGGUACAGAAGGUUGCGGCGGUGGAAGUAGGGCUUCGUGGUGCUCCUGGAUGUUUUCGGGGUACAUAAGUAUAUAUAGGCGAAGGAAGUUGGUCAGGGGAGCCACGAGGGGCCCACGAGGGUGGGGGGCACGCCCACCCCCCUAGGGAGCGCCCUGGACCCUCGUGGCCGCCUUGGUUGCUUCUUGACGUCCACUCCAAGUCUCCUGGAUUGCGUUUGUUCCAAAAAGAUCUCUCCCGAAGGUUUCAUUCUGUUUGGACUCCGUUUGAUAUUCCUUUUCUUCGAAACACUGAAAUAGGCAAAAAAAACAGCAAUUUGGGCUGGGCCUCCGGUUAACAGGUUAGUCCCAAAAAUGAUAUAAAAGUGUAUAGUAAAGCCCAUAAACAUCCGAAACGGGUAAUAUAAUGGCAUGGAACAAUCAAAAAUUAUAGAUACGUUGGAGACGUAUCAGCCAUCCCCCAACAAGAUUUGCAAGACAACACAUGCAUAGACACUCAAUGUAGCUGUGUUGACGAUGAGCACGUCUCCCCUAGUCCACCAUCACAGGUGCUGCCUCUAACUUGGCGCUGUUAUAUGUGGUUGCAUGUAUUACUUCUACUUUUGUUGAAUUCCAUCCGUUUACUUUAAACAUUAUACUUGUGAAUAAGACACGUAUUCAUGUUUCUAGAACAUACAAUAUUUGUCUAUCACACCAUGUUCUUACAUGAAAGUACUACUAUUGUGUAACCUACAACAAUCACUUAUCAUAAGACACGUUUAACUUGGGAGUCUGAUAUAGGUUACAUCUCGGAUCAUUUUCUAACUUGUACUACUAAUUUGUUGAAAUGGCACUAAUGACGAGACAGUUUUAACUUGGUAGAGUGAUAUUCGUUGCAUCUUACAUAUGGUGUCUAGGUUUCAUUGCUUCUAAUUUGUUGAAAUGCCUUCUGCCUAGUUUACACAUCAUAGUUGUGAAUAUGCAAUGACACUAAUGACGAGAGACCUUUAACUUCGUAGUGUGAUGUCGUUUGCAUCUUGCAUAUGAUUUAUUUCUUGUACUGCUUCACAUUUGUUUAAAUGCAAUUUAUGACGAGACACUGUUAACUUGGUAGAGCGAUAUUUGUAGCAUCUUUCAUAUGGUGUCUACCUUCCAUUGCAUUGCUUCUAAUUUAUUGAAAUGCCUUCUUCUUAGUGUACACAUCAUAGGUCUGAUUAUCUCAUGCCGUCCUAUUUUUCGUACAUAUUACAUCCUCCUAUCAUGCGGUUGUCUAACAUCAAAGUUCAGAUCAUAUGUAUCAUGCAUCAAUUUGUUCUGAAGAACCAAAAUUUUAUUCCUUCUUCUUGUCGGCUUGACUUGACAUGGCAAAGAGAAAGAGGAAGGAACACAUAAUGGUAGGGGAUGGUGUUAGUACUCAGGACACAUGGAAAUGGAAGUAGAAGAAUUAUGCAGAUUUUACUGGUACUGAUGGUGCAAUAGAAGGUCGAAGUCCACCGAAUAAUUGUACAAACAUAGUAUCCCCUGCUACACUAGCUACAAAACAAUCCAAGCACAAACGAAUAGUUGUCCCCAAACAAGCAACGACCGCCCUAGUUGUUGCAACACCUUCUUCCAUAGUACCAACAUUUGCACGAGUUACUCAUUCUGCAACUCUGCUAGCGGCAAGUUCCCAAGCUCCCUUGCCACCUGACACUACUUCUAAAGCACUCUUGACACAAGACGAGUUGGCAAGAUCAGAUGAACCUUGUGAGAUUCAACAACAAGAAGGUAGUUGCUCGAGUCAAGUUACAAUUGGAU
rnacentral:lncRNA from 1 species